rnacentral:lncRNA from 1 species
UUGAGAUUGAUCGCCGAGACUUCAGUGGUGAAGAGGGUGUGUGGAUCGUUCGGGUAGAGCUUGAUCCCGUGCGGCUGAGUGUUCUCUCCGAGGCCGUACAGGGAGGCGUCUUUCGGCGGUCGGGUGGAUAUCUCGAGGUACUGGUCCUUAAACACCAGUUCGCCAUAUGGGUCUUUGGAGUAGGAGCUCAAAUGAAGAGGACCUGCCCGUUGGACUUCCUCUUGAAGGCGAACCCAAAUGGGUCGGAGAUGAAGCUGAGAAUGAGCUCAGAGCCGGAGUAGUCUGAGACUUCGAUGGGGUUCUUCGUCUUCGCCUGAAACACGUUUUGGUUUCAAUUGAAAAGGCCAGAGCCUUGCAUGCGAGGAAGAUGACGAUAGGAUUCCAGAGAUAGAGAAAGAAGGAGUAAGACGACGGAGGCGAGAGAAGGAAGACGGCGGCAAGAGGAGGAUAGGACGGAGGCGAGACCAUCUGUAUCGUAGGUCUGUGAGACGUACAAGGCAAGGAGGGUUUGAGAAGGAAACGGAAAAGGCCUGCUUUACCAUUGCUAUUCCCUUCCCGCGAUCAUCAAGGCGUGCGCAACAAGAUCAGCGGCAGAGAGAGUCUGUGGCAAAUUUGUAUAUAAAUUGAAAUUCAUCCCAAAACAUUGUUCAUUUGAAUAAUGCAAUUGGAAUCCCUUCUUUAGACAAAAGUAAUUUUUAAGUAGAAUGCCAACUUAGAUUUUGAGGAAAACUAAUGAAAAUGACUUGAAAACUUUGAGUUUUAAUGAUAAGGACAAAAUAAAUGGUAAAGUGAAUAGUAUCAUAAUUGACUUUUUAGUGUAAAAAUAUGAUUUUUCGUUAAAAUGAAUAUUACCGCGGGUUUUUCAUUAAAACUCCCUAGAUUUUAUGCAAACCAAAACCUUACCAUUAUUCAUACUUGCCAGAAGGCCUCAGAAGUCUCCACUAAAAUGCUUCCCUAAGCACAAGUACAUAAUAAUGCCACUGACAACUAGCUCGUCGAUCACCUCAGCGCUGCGGUUAAUGCUUUCGGCGCCACUUUUACAUUUCACUCUUAGUAAGAUGAGAUGAAGACGGGUUCUCAGAAGAUCCAAUUCCGGUAUCUCAAUUCAAUUGCGCAAUUGUUCCUCGUUGUAACUCGAUCUUGAGUAUUGUACAACCAUCAUAUUGCCAACAGCCUUUGAGUCCCGACUACAAGCAGAAGCAUUUACCAAGUUGUCACAAGGCCCGUCAAUACUGGCAGUGUCAUCAGCGGAGGAUGAGUGAUUAAUCGUGCUUCUGUUCUUGUUUUCAGUUUCCAUUCUAUCAUUUUCUGUAAUGACACCUAGAGUUUCAGCCGCUUCAACCACUUGCGAUUCAACAGAUGUCUUGCAAAUAACAGCGGGAUCAAUAUCAUGGCUGUGGUAAUCAUCAGGAUGAGUUACUUUGCAUUGCUCUACAAACUCCAUUGUUGAGGAAAGGAUAUUCAUGUCCUUGUCCAUCGUAUUUUCUUGGCUAUUUCUAUUUAAGAUGUCAUCCUCAAAUCCGGUUGGAUUAGUGCGAGCAUCAUCUGCAGGAGACAGGUCUUCAUCUAUCUGUUAAACAAUGACCUGUGUUUGCUUUCAGAGAAGACACUGCUAGACACAACCUCGUCAACAGAAUGCAACCCUAGUGGGGAAAUGCAGAUGAAAGAGGGAUCAACUUUUCAUCGCCAGUAAUUUCUUCUCCAUAACUCUCAUUACAUACGCCAUUUCCACGUGCUACCACAUUACUCGGUUAGGUAGCCACUACCUUUGGUUCUCUCAGCAGCUACAUCUCCAUUACCACAGUUAUUCGCAUUUGGAGAUAAUACUUCCUCAUUUAUUGGAUCCUCAUUUACUAAUCCUUGAUCUCGAUUGGCAAAAGAUGCCACAUUUAUAGUGGUAUCAUUGCUUUCCAAAUUAACUAGUCCACUUAAUUGCUUCUGUACAAAGACUGCUAAAGAAACAGCAUGAUCACGAAUCAAAGAAUCAUGAGACGGGUAGUGUAGCAUAUCGAUCAAGGCCUUAUGGUACUGUGUGGCAGAUAUUAAUAACUUUGAGUAUAUGUUCACACAGGUUGCCCAUUUCUGCCCAAUGGCAGUUGCAAAUACCAAACUCGUCAAUAACUUUUGCACGAGUACCUUCUAUGAUAAUAUUGCAGUUAAGAAUCUUCAAAGCUUUACGCCAAGAUGUUAAACCACUCGCCCACUCAUCUUUCCAAUAUUGUGCAAAAUCAUCAUUCUCAGAAUAUUCAUCAAGCCAGAAGAAGGAAUGCACUUUUGUACCCAGCUUAUUAACCAACCAAUCAACUCGUUUUUACACUCUAGGUUUAUUCUCGUUCAAUAACCUAAGCUUUAGUGGCUGUGCUAGAACUCCAUUGCCGCAGAGGUUUCCUAGCUAGCAAGAGGAAGAGUUUGUAGUGCAGAUACCCACAUCCCUGAGUCAAAAGACAUUUUUCUUGUGCGAGUUAUUCAAGAUAAAGCAAAAGAAAAUUAAGGACCCUGUUUAAAGAGAAGGGGGUGAAGGAAUUAAACGACACACUUGUUACUUCGUAUCAUAAGGCAAAAUAUACCUCUACUAAAGAUGAUAGUAACUUAGCUAAUUCUAGGAUACUAAGUUGCCUUAAAGUAAUCUAUAAAAUCUUAUUCAUCAAGAAAAUCUUCUAUGAAGUCCUCAGACAAACGCUCGGCUCCUCGUUGUUGACAGAUGUUAUCCACUGCUUGACGAAGCCUUCUUGACAUUGUAGCUCGCAUCUCAUUGUCCACACAUUUCUUUACUAAGUUUGUAUGCCAUGCAUGAGGAACCCGCCAAAAGCUUAUCAACACUGAACACUGAAAUACAUCCCUGAGUAUAAUGAAAUAAAACUGUCAGUAUCAAGUUUGGGCGAGGACUGAGCAACCAACAGGAUGGUGAGCACAUCAGCUAGAGGAUCAUCCACUAUGAAACUAGCCAACUUCCAAACAGGAUCUUUCGUUUCAAUUCUAUUGUGAAGAGCUCUCAUCCAUUUAUGGGCAUUGGAACUUCCAAACUUUGGAGCCACUAUCCACGCCACCGGGAUAGUAAUAAUGUUGCAUGUCACAUCCCGGCCCGGGACAGAUCACUUCCCGGGCCCACUCCACCACCAUAGCACGAUAUUGUCCGCUUUGGGCUUACCAUUCCCUCACGGUUUUGUUUUUGGGAACUCACGAGCAACUUCCCAGUGGGUCACUCAUCCUAGGAGUGCUCUGGCCUCCUUCUCGUUUAACUUCGGAGUUCCUAUGGAACCCGAAGCCAGUGAGUUCCCAAAAGGAGUGAGUUCUCAAAAGGCCUCGUGCUAGGUAGAGAUGGGAAUAUACAUUUAAGGAUCACUCCCCUGGGCGAUGUGGGAUGUCACAAUCCACCCCCCUUAGGGGCCCGACGUCCUCGUCGGCACACCACGGCCAGGGUUAGGCUCUGAUACCAAUUUGUCACAUCCCGGCCCGGGGCGGAUCACUUCCCGGGCCCGCUCCACCACCAUAGCACGAUAUUGUCCUCUUUGGGCUUACCAUUCCCUCACGGUUUUGUUUUUGGAAACUCACGAGCAACUUCCCAGUGGGUCUAUCCUAGGAGUGCUCUGGCCUCCUUCUCGCUUAACUUCGGAGUUCCUAUAGAACCCGAAGCCAGUGAGUUCCCAAAAGGCCUCGUGCUAGGGUAGAGAUGAGAAUAUACAUUUAAGGAUCACUCCCCUGGACGAUAUGGGAUGUCACAUUGCAACAUGAACAUAUUCGGUUUCUCAUUAUUAUUAACAAUUGUAGUUAAUAAUAAAAGGUUAAACAAACUAAACGGACCUUCAAUUUGGUUGUUCCGAACCUUGAAUCAGAAAGCUAUAAGGCUGUGAUUGCCGAAGCAAAUCAUCUGUUGCAACUGCCACUCUGUUUGAAUGCCCAAAGUGAAAGGGUCCACAUAAGAGAAAUCCUAAUAGAAGAAAACAUGACUCUGAUGGUUUUCUACCCACAUGCUAAUGCUAACCGCAUCAUCAGCAUCCAAUUCAUAUAUAGAGCAUCGAAUGACCCUCUCCUGCCUCGAACAUACCUAUAGGUUAAAAGGUCAUCACGGUUAGAUGGACCACCCUGUUUCUCUACAGAUUCAUCGUGUCUCUGCAUUAUAGUCUCCACAGAGACCCCCGCAUAUAACAAAGAUUGUACACGAAGAAGCAGAUCCUCAGAGAUACAAGGGGCAAAUAUAGCACGUGUUCCAGCAGCCAUCUUAUCUUGUGGACCAUGGCAUGGCACUCAUUUCCUAUCUACAUGCUUAUCCUGAUUAUAUAUGAUACGCGCCACUAAAGAAUACCUAGAAUACCAUCAACCUUUGGUUUGUUAGGCGUCUAUGGCUGCCGCCGUCGCCUCGCUUCAACAUGAAAUCUUGUUGGACAUUCUUUAUUAGAGCAUUCACCCCUCAGAAAAUCGUCAACUCUAGGAAACGGAAUUAGAGCAACUCCAUCUUUCUUGUCCCGCCAACCUUCCACCUUUGACCACACAAGAUCAGAAGAAGAAAACUCCAGUGCAGGUGGACUCUGCACAGGAAGGGACAUAAUCUCAUCCCAUCUAGCCAUCUACAACAAAUAAAACGGAAAUGACAAAUUUAAUACAAUAGUCAUUUUAACAGAAGAAUCAAGACCAAAAUCCCAAUAGUCACACUCACACCUAACCCUUAACUAUUAGUUGAAUAAAAGGUUUUUCUAAUCGAAAAAAUGAACAAAAAUGGCGGAUUUUGCAACUGGCUUCGUAAAAUCACACGUUAAUAACAGUAAUAGAGGUCCUUUUUACUCUAAGCAGUACAAAAGAAAGUCAAAAACUUCAUAUCUGAUAACAAGAAAACAAACAAACAAACAAAAAAGAAGAAACAAUUUAAUUCAUGCAAUACAUUUCAUUCCCAACAAGAGAAGUUCAAAACUUUAGCAAACAAUUAAACUGAUUUCGUCUCUGUUUUCAUAAAUUCUCAGAAAUUAACAGUCGAAAAACACAAAUUAAAGGAAAAAAAAAGUGAAAUUCUUUGGGUUGUCAAAUAGAGAAAUUAUAUUCACACACCCAAAAUUUCUUCCACACAUUUUUAAUUUUUAUUUUAUUUUCUACACACUACUAACACUUGAUAGAAAAAGAUUAAAAAAUUAAAGGAUGUGAGGGAAGUAAUUUAGGAUGUGUGAAUAUAAUCUCCCUUUUAGAUAAGUGAAGUCGUUAGCUUCAGAGUCACACAUUGAGCUAUAUCGAUAUGUAUAGUAUCACGCCCUUUAUGCAAAAAGAUCCCCAUUUUUUCAAAAAAAUGGGGAUUAGGUGUAGGUCCACUCCACAACGAACUUUAAUGAUCUGAAUCGUUUAUUUUGUAAGGAACCAAAUCCCCUGCGGAUCCCUAAAAACUGAGCCUUCUGAGCAAAGAAUUAGGACAAUUGAAAUUUGAUCAAACGGUUACAAACAGGGCCCCUCUAAAAGUUAUAAUAAUUGUAGUCAUUGGAUUAAAUUUCAACGGCCCAAAUUCAUUGCUCAGGGGGCUCAGUUUUUGGGGAUCCAAUUCCAAUUUGUAAGUCUCAUUUCAUAGAUUAUUCUUACAAGAAUUCAAUUCAAUCCAAAAUCAUUUAUCUAUUUUGUAAGUCUCAUUCCAUAAAUGUCAUUAUAUCAUCAUUUCACGUGCUACCACAUUAUUCGGUUCAGCAGCCACUUUACCCUUGGUUCUCUCAGCAGUUACAUCUCCAUUCCCACAAUUACUCAUUUGAAGAUAAUACUUCCUCAUUCAUUGGAUCCUCAUUUCCUAAUUCUUGAUCUCGAUUGGUAAAAGACGCACAUCCAUUGUGGUAUCAUUACUUUCCAAAUUAGCUAGUCCACUUAAGGGUGCGUUUGUUGCACUGGAAUGUCUCGGAUUGGACUAGCUUUAGGAACUAAGCUGGAUUGUCUUAGAUUAGCUUAAUGAAGCAUUUGAUGCAGUAUCGGACUAAAAAGUAGGAUAAAAAUUAAUUUUCCUUUUUUUUUUAUCCAAAAACAAAGAACUCUAUCUGUCUCUCCAUUUUCUUUGGUCAAACUAUCUCUCCUCCUUUUUCUCCAUCUCUUCCAUUUUCCUUUCCCGUCCAAUUCCUUUUUCCUUUUCUUCUCGAUCACAAAUAUACACAGUUCACAUGCAAACCAAUUUUCCAUCAGACCAAACAACACCCAUCACCUGCCUUAUCAAUCCAACAAAAUUCCCAAACUUUCCCACCCUAAAAUUUGACAAUUCCAUUCAAAUUAAACAAAAGUUAGAGCUGGAAAACUGAGGAAAGAAAAAGAGAGAGAGAGAGAGAGUAAACGGAUCACCAAUAGUAGGAGGCGGCAACGCCAUAUAGUUUGAGGACGAGCAGUAGCGUAAAGGAGAAGAGGAGGCUAUGGGCCGCCAAGGCCUGCACGAACUUCAACAUUCUCCGCUAGUUCAUCAUCAUCGUAAAACAAUGUCGUCCGCUGCAAAAGUCGAGACUUUAGAUUGUGAGAAAUCUUAGGAGGAGGUUGAUGUUUCAGUAUACGCCAUUGAAACGAAAGAGGCAAGAAAUAUUCUUUCUCUCCUUCUUCUUUUUCAUCGUUCGGGUUGACCUAGAUGGCAAAAAAUCCCAAAUCACCAACCCAGAUGCCAAAAUGGCGCUGGGUUUGCAGGACGAUGGAGAUCAGAGACAACCGUUUCUGGAGAAGGGGGGUUAAUGCUACUCAUGUGGGUUCGUAGGACGCUGCUCGCAUACCAGGGAGACGGGACUAGCAAUCCCGUUGUUUUUGGGGGGCCUCGCUAAGACCUCCUAGUGAGGGAUUUAGUCGAGGCGAGUCCUCCUUUGUCCCAUUUACCUUUAGUCCCGCCAGUGAACAAACAUGGAUUGCACUAACUUUUAACUUAAGCGUCGAGUGAGAACUAAAGAAGGCAAACAAACACCCCCUUAAUUGCUUCUGUACAGAGACUGCUAGAGAAACAGCAUGAUCAAUUGAUUUUGACGGAGUUCUUCAGCUUAAUUUAUUAGUUUUGGAUUACAUUGCUCUUGUUUAAACUUUCAAGUAAUCUUUUUCCAUAUGAUUACUUCUAUUUAAGGGCUCAUGGCUUGGGAAUUGUUAUGCUAUUAUCACCUAAAUGCUCAUGUAAAUUGAAUUCGAUCAAAUUUUUACUAGAGUAGUCGAAUUUCUAUUAGAGUUGUUCUUAGUCAUGUUUGAAUUGCCAUGUUUAUCUUAUAUUUUCUUGAUGCAAACCUGGUCAUUUUUUUAUCUAUGCAUCCAGAGCAACAAUCAUGUGAUUUCUUGACAAUGAAUUGGACUUGUUUUUUUUUUUUUUUUUUUUUUGCACUUUAGUUGUUUAUAGUAACAAAUUCACUUGAUCAAUUGAUAUGUUCUUUCUGUAUAUAUAAAAAAUAUGUGCUAAAAUUCUUAAGUGUGUAUCAAUACACACACACACACACACACACACACACACACACACACACACACACACACAUAUAUAUAUAUAUAUAUAUAUAUAAUUGUAUACACAGAUGGUUAAGAAGGAAAGUAAUGGGGCAAGUGGAUCACAACUGCCAGCUGUAUGGAAUGCUCACAAUACAUCACUAUUUUGUGACGUGUGUAUCAAGGAAGUGGAGGCAGGAAAUCGUCCUGGUACCCACUUUAAAAAAGAGGGAUGGGAAAAUGUGAGUAUUAACCUAAAUAAAGAGACUGGAGAUGAGUAUAGUAAACAACAGCUAAAAAAUAAGUGGGAUGCACUUAAAGAGCAAUGGAAAUUAUGGAAAGAACUAAAGGGAAAAGAAACUGGUCUAGGAUGGAAUCCCAAGCUCAACACCGUUGAUGCUUCGGAUGAGUGGUGGCAUAAUAAAAUUCAGGUUUGUAAGCUUCUUGUUAGUUUCUGGAUGUUGUUUGUCUAUUAUUGAGCUUGAAUGCAUUUUAAUACUUGUUUCUUUAAAUUGCAGAUCAACAAAAAAUAUAAAAGUCUGCGUAGAAAAGGAAUUAGCCCUGAUAUGGAAGAUAAGCUAGAUAGGAUGUUCAUGAAUACCACUACUGGUGAUCAUGCUUGGGCACCCUCGUCUGGUGUACUUCCAUGUGAAAAUAAUGAUGAAUCUGAUGAGGAUGAUGGCAUUCAAAUUGACAGUAGUGAUUUUGAUGAUGUUAUCCCACUCAAAAAUACUCAAGCCGAUGAGAAGUAUUUGGGGAAGAAGAAAAAAAGAACUCAACAAUUUGAUACACAAGUUAAGAAAGAGAAUAAGGAUAAAGGAGUUGUUGCAAAGAAGGGGAAAUUGGGAGGUGCUGCUAAGUUGUCAGAACAGAUUGAUCGUAUGGUUAGUGCAAUUGAGAGUAGAAAUACAACAACUUCAAACAUGGCCAAGGGCUUACAAAAUAGUAGCAUUGCUGAAGUGAUGAAGAUAGUUUCAUCUUUACCUGGUGCAGGGCCUGGGAGCCCUUUGUGGUUAUUUGCAACUCGAUUAUUUCUAAAACAAGAGAAGAGAGAAAUGUUCUUAACUAUAGAAGAUCUGGACAUCAAGUUUCAAUGGCUUAACUAUGAGCAAGCUGAAAAUUAAGUGCCAUGUGAUGCAUUUAGUUUGCAAAGUUUUAUAUUUCGUGGUAGACAGUAUAGUCUAAGAUAUCUUUAAACUUGAGUUUAUUAUUUUGAUUUGUCAUUUGGGAUGGUUACUUGGAUUUCUUUGUGUUUUACUUGGGAUUAUAAUUGGAUGGUUUUGGAUUCUUUAUUUAAGAAUAAUUUUUUUUCAUGCAUGUACUCCUAUUUGUAGGAAUAAUGAUGAGAUUUUUAUUUUUUUUUCAAAAUUGCAGAUCUCUUUCAAGAUAUGGACAUCUUGCAAGAUGAGGAAGAGUUCAACCAAACUGUAUGCCUUUGUGUUCGUACUAUAGAACAUUAUUAUCAAACAUAUAUCCACAAAACACCUUGUAUGGAUUCAUCUCAAACAGGAUAUAAGUGGUUAAUGGAAAUAUUACGGGGAAAGAGGCGUUGUCAUAGGAUGUUCAGAAUGGAUAAAGAGGUAUUUAUGAGAUUGUGUAGUGACCUGCAAAACAAGUAUGGAUUGAGGGGUUCAAGGAGAAUGUGUCCUGGUGAAAUGUUAAGAAUGUUUUUGUUUAUUCUAGGACAAGGUGAAGGGAAUAGGUCAGCACAAGAACGAUUUCAACACUCCGGCGAGACUGUGAGCAGAUACUUUAGUCAGUUACUUGAUAUUGUAUGCCUUAUGGCUGUUGAUGUUAUCAAACCACUGGAUCCUAUGUUUAAUGGUGUCUCUGCAGAGAUAUUAAGCGACUCUAGAUAUAUGCCCCACUUUAAGGUAAAAAAAAAACUAGAUAUGAUACUUCUUGCUUUGUCUUAUGAAUUAAGUUAUAUUUAUUGAAAAUUGUGUUAUAAUAUUAUUUGCAGAACUGUAUUGGUGCUAUUGAUGGUGUACAUGUUCAAGCCACAAUACCUCCCGGAGAUCAAAUACCAUAUAUUGGCAGGAAAGGGACACCAACUCAAAAUGUAAUGGCCGUAUGUAAUUUUGACAUGCAAUUCAUCUUUGCAUGUGCAGGUUGGGAAGGAACUGCACAUGAUACAAGGAUAUUUUUAUCUGUUUUACGAAACGGUGCUUUAAAUUUUCCUAAGCCUCCUAAUGGUAAUGUCUCAAACUUGUGCAUAUGUUUGAAAUUUUGCAUUUGAUUAGACACUUUUUAUAGUUUCUUUUUAUAUCAUAGUAGCAUGUUUUGAACAUUACAGGAAAAUAUUAUCUUGUGAAUGCUGGGUACCCACAGAUGAGCGGCUAUUUAGGACCCUAUAAAGGUGAAAGGUAUCAUCUUCCUGAUUUUCGUAGGGGCAGAGAACCAACAGGAUCUAGAGAGGUAUUUAACCACAUACACUCUUCUCUUAGGAGUGUCAUUGAACGCACUUUUGGUGUAUGGAAAAAGAGGUGGAGCAUUUUAAGAGACAUGCCUAGUUACUCAUUUAAGAAGCAAGUAAAGAUAAUAAUCGCAACUAUGACGCUUCACAAUUAUAUAAGAAGGUAUGCCCGACGUGAUAAUCAUUUUGACAACAUGAAGGAUGACUUGGAUGAUGACACAAACUCGGAUGAAGAACAAGAAGAAUAUCAUAUUACCGAAGGACCCGAAGCACAAGAAAUAGAGACAUUGAGGAACAACAUUGCUGCAAGUUUGAUGUGUUCGUAAUUUUUUUUAUGUAUGCUUAUUUUAUUUUAUUAUUGUUUGAAGACAUUGAAGAAAAUUUUAUUUAUUUAAUAUUUGUUGUUUUUUUUUAACUUUUGGCAAUGCAACUACAAAUGUCAAAAUAAUUUGAGGGAAAAAAGAUUAGAUAUACUUGUGAGUCAUCUUUUUAACCAAAAAGUUAAUAGAAAACUAUUUUUCUCAUUACUUUAGUCUAAACUAGAAAAUGUGCCCGCGCGAUGCUGCGGGACUUAAAUGCAUCACCUUUAACUACAUGAAUAAGAUACAUUUCACCUAAAUAAAUUCAACACAAUCAUGAAUGAAGAGAGGAAUAGAUGAGUAAAUGGGGUCGGUAAGAUAUGCAACUUCGUUUUUAUAUACAUUGAACUGAACUCACAUGAAAAGACAUUGUACAAUGAACAGGACGAAACUGAAUGUUUUGGUUCCCUAAACUGAAACCCCUUGUCUCAGACACCCAACACCUCUCACCCUCAGAUAGCCCUAAACGAAGUGCCUCGUAGCAUCGAAUUGGCCUACAACACCCCCGAGCGAGAUUGAGACUACUUUUCAUAUUUUCAUUUUAAUGUACCAGCAAGGAAACGAUAGUAUAUUCCAAAAUUAGCAGUUUACAGAGAAAUAUAAAUAUUGUUUUCAAGAAAUUAAUAUGAUUGCAAAUGUAAUAGCUCCAUGCAUAGUGAGGUAGGAUAAAUGAUGGAAGACACACUGAAAUUUGAGGUCCAUAGGUUGAGAAGAGUCCAUAGCAUUGAUCCAGAUAUGGAUAGCUUGCACAGAUCUACAAUUCAAGCUCCGAAUAAAGUAUCAAUUUAUCAGCAAUUGUGACAUUCAUUAUUCCUAAAAAAGUUAUUGAUUCACAAAUAAACAAAUGAAAGUAAUCAGAAAAGAAACGCUUACCACAUGCUAGCUGAAUCCGAACUCAAAAUGACCACGAUAUUUUCCCAGCAAUGAUCACAAAGAGAUUGAUGCUUGGGACUUCUGUCCAUCCCUGAAAACAAUGGAAUAAUAUACCCAUUAAAAAACGUCACAAAAAGAUUUACAGUAACUGUCCCAACUAUUAUAAUUAUAUGGUCUUAUUGGCAUAUUCAGACUACAAAAUAAAAGCUGGCAGUUGUUUGCACUCGUAAACAAUUUCUCUUUACAAAACUAAAUAAAUUGUAAUGACCCAAGAAAUCAAAAUUUGAUUAGGCAUUAGAAACAAUGUUACCUUUUGGAGAAAAGGAUGCUCAACCAAAUGGAAGCCCAAAUUUAAAACAGCAACUGAAUGAAAAUCUGACGUUAUAAAAUCCAUAAGAAGCGUGUAAUGCGUCUAAUUUAAAAAGUCUCUCACACAUGUAAUUGCACGUAGGACGCCAGAUUCAAAAAAAAAAAAAAAACCUUGAAACCAAAGGACUGCAAAGGAUUGCUUUGUCAUAGAAAGUAAAAGAAUAAAUUGAAUCAACUGAACAUGCUUCUUGCAAACAAAGAAAGUAAAAUACGGGGGAACAAAAUCACAAAUCAACAUAGGCAUCUCUUAAGAAUUUAAAUAACCAAGAUUUUGAUGAACUGAUUGUAAGCAUAUGUGCAUAGAUGUCACUAUUUACAUAAAACAUGUAAAGGACAAUCAGUUUUGAGUUUCAAAAUAUAAAAUAUUAAAAUUUCCAUAAAAGAUAAGUAUUGGGAAACAAAGUUGGCAUCUCACCUUCCACAAUAGGUCGACAAAUCCUUUGAUUACGCUUUAGCUUCUUGUUUAACUGAAACACAAAUUCAUUGUUCAGAAUAUCAUAAUUUCAUGAAAUGGUUCACCUUUGAUUACGCUUGCUGCUUAGUGACUUGAUAAGUCGGUCACAAAGAUAACAUGUAGAAUGCAAAUAUGGAUCAGGAAAAAACAACAGCUAUAGAAUUGAUUAUAUAGAAGAAGAAUACAUACUUAUUGUGAGGUUAUCCCAGCUAUCCACUAUGACCCAAUAUAUAUAGCAAGUAAAAACUAUGGCAGCAAAGAUCUCACGUAUAUAAAUCUUGCAUAAACUUUGUUUUUGUACAAUGUCUUCUCCCUUCAAUGACAGUUUGUUUCUUAUUCAGGAAAAUAAAAUGAGCAGGUUAAUGAUACUCACAUGUGCAAAAUGCUAAUCCUAUGGUCUAAAGUUAACUGAAUUUUUUAGUGUAAAAUACCUAAUUUCACUGCAUUUCAAUUGAUCACAGUUCGUGCCUUGUUAAACUUGAUAUACCCUUAGACAUUUUGGGAACUUGACAGCUUAAAUUUUCUUUAGUUACAGAUGUGCUCAUAAAAGCAAAUUACAGCGACCCAAUAUAUACUAAAAACUUGGAGAAGGGACUCAAUUAGUUAACGAACAGGUGCCUCGCCUUUCAUGUUAAGACCAAAGAGAGAAAACCAAGCCGAACUCUUCAAAAUUCAUUGGCACACAUGCAUCAUCAGCUCAAUUGAAUGGAUAAUGCAUACUUAGAUACAACCAUUCAAACAAUUGAUGUAGAUUGACAUAAGCCUCCAAACUUCAAAAAAAUUGAAACCUUAUAAAAGCAAAACCUUUUUUCCUUCAUAUUUGAACUGUUUCGAUUACCUUAUCUCUCUAUCACUUGAUUCAUUAUUUCUAAAGGAAGUUCUAAUCACUACCAAAACAGCUUAAUAACAGUUGAUUAUCUAAAAAAAAAAAGAGGGAAAACAUGAAAUACUAACUGCACUCAAAAUCCCAAAUGUGUAACACAUGAUUCUAAUCUAAACCCUGAUUCUAAAAUUUAGAAUUCGACACAAAAAUGAAAAUUGGAAUGAUUAACAUGGAAAUGAGAGAGGGAGAAGUGUGAGGGAAUCUACACAUGAGGGCUUCGGAUCUGAGUCCAGAGCUGGAAGCGGCAGAGGUUGCGAACUUAAGAGUAUGGAAGAGGCGGGAAGGAUCCUUGUAAAAACAAUAAAAAUUAAAUAAGAAACUCGCCGGAAACUCGGAAAACCUCGUCGAAAAAACUGGACAGCAACUUACCUCGGAUUCACCUUUAACUCGUAACAAAUCUUUUCACAUUAUUCUCUAUUGCCACUUGUACUUCACUCAGUACUAAUCGAUAUAGCUGAAAGUCUGAAUCAUGAAGAAUGAGAAGUUGAAGUAUAUCAAAUGAUAAAGUUGUCAACAAUGAAGAAUGGGACAUUGACCAUGGAGACACUGCAAGAAGCAAAAGUGAGCAAAUUAAAUAAAUACCAGCAUCAACAUUUAGAAAAAAGUAAGAGCAGCAACUAUAAAUGAAGAAUGUGCAAUCAACAUUAAAAGUGUAUAAUAGGAACACGGAUCUCAUAACUAAAAGACAUUUUCUCACCAAACAAUGGAAAAUAAUUGGAGAUGCAAUUCAAUAAAAAAAGAAGUUAGCACUUGCUUAUUGCCUUCCAAAGAAGCUAAUGAAUCCAUCUGGUUGAAGAAGUGUUUAGCAUUGCCAGUAAAAACAACAAAAAUCACAUCAAAUUUCAAAUUAAUCAACUCAAUAGCAUGCGUACCUUAACAUCUAGAUGACGAAACAUUGGUUCCUCGAACGAAUCGUAAAGAUCACAAACACAAAUCAUGAAUUAGAGUUCGAAUACGCAUCUCCCGAUUUGAAACCCUAACGUAAUUCCCCACUUGGAAGAUGCAACCUUUGGGGUUCUGGCUGCUAGGGUUGAGAUGUUAAACCUUUGACUAAGAAAAUGACAUUGGGCAGCAUAGGAUACAUACUGCUCCCCCAGAUAGACCUGCAUGAAGAUUUAUCCACCAUCACAUGCGAAAAGGAAGAUGGUCAGUAUAUGUGUUUUAGUAAUCAAUCUAUAUUUGAAGCAAUGAAAAAAAAGCAUAUGACAUGAGCUAUCAUAAAUUAAAAUUAUCAACAAUCUCUUCCCAUUACGAAACAUAGAGAAACUACAAACCAUAACAAAUACAUUGAAAUACGCAAAUAUGCAGCAAAUCCCUCAAGCAAUUAAGAAAAAAAAUGCCUCUUAAAUCAGCAACCAAAUUCAAAUUAACAAAUGUCUCCAUAAAAGAAGUAAAAUGGAUGAAAAGAUACCUGGCUUUUUCAAAACAAUUCAAAUUCCACAACAUUUCAUUCAAAACAGUUCAAAAUUCAUAACCCCUCAAGCAAUUGGGGCUGUAAGUUACGUAAUCGGAUGGCUACAACCAAACGAAGAGCUUCAAUCAAUUAAAGUCAACAAAAUAUCAAUAAUUAAUCUAAAAAAAAAAAUUAAAUAAAUGAACACCAGGGGACUGAGGAAUGCUACUAAACAUCAGUAAGAACAGAAACGAAUAAUUUAAAUGCUUGAGCUUCAAUGAAAGCAUUUUACCCUUGCAAUUUUCCAAGAUAGCGGAGAGGCAAGAUGCACAUGUAUUAGUGAGAGGAUUUUCAAAGAUAUUGAGCACUUCCAAUCGAGCAGAUAGCAAAGGGCAUUCGCAAAUCUGAAGAUUGAAAUUAUUGAUCGAGACAGCCAAAUGAAUAGAGAUAUAAUCAUACAAUCCCCAAAAUCCAAAUCCAAAUCUGAAACGCCUGAUCCGUUUCUGGAAAAUGGCAGAGAAAAAUAGAAGAACUACGUUUUUAGAUGACCGGAUUGAAUUUGAGGCAGAGAGAGGGGGAGAGAAAGAGGGAGGAAGAGAAGCAGAAAAGCGAUAGAACAAAAUGGAAGACGCUUGAAGGGUCUUCCUUACCAACGACGUGAAAUCCAAUUGCCAUUUCAAGCUCCCUCAAUCACGACCUGUAGGAAAAUAUCAAACCCAAACAUAAGUUCACUGAAAUUCGAAUUCAAUAUAAUCAAACACAAACAAAAUAGCAAAAUUAAAAUAAAUAAAAAACUAAACUAAACUAUAAAUUAAAACUUUCAAUUGAAUAACCCCACAAUUUAAAUUACUAAACAGUAACAGAUUUCUCUGAGUAAUCAACUUCUCGAUUAUGGUCAUCGAACACGACAUUCUCCAAAACUGCCAAACACAUGCAACCAUAUUUGAUAAGAAUUUGAAAUAUCACUCCAAUCAUGACACAGAACAUAAACAUUUUGCGCACUGUCAUUUUUAAAGUAGAACGUUCAAUUAAAUCAUGAUGUUAAGUACCAGUCCCAAAUUUGAUAGCAUUCCAAAUAUCUGGUUCCUUGUCCAUUGACAAAUCAAUGCACUUGGCAUAGCAACCACCUUCAAUGUUUGACACACCAUUGUUGCCCCAGCAGUGCUCAUCAUCUCCAAUUAGAUACCGAUUAUGAUCCGUAGACAGAGUCGUCUUCCCAGUGCCUGCAACAAACAUCCCAGGAUCAGUUACACGAACACAAAAGAAACUGAAACACAAAAGAUUGAUGUAUCCAUCACCAAUUGAUCAUUGUACACAUAAAAUUAUCAUGAUUCAUACCUCUGCGUCGAUAUGGAAUUUUAUAAACUGGACAAAUGGAACCCAAUUUCAUCGACUUCACGGUGCAAGUGCUGUAAAAAAAUAAGCAAACACUGGCAAUAUGAUCAAGCACAUUCCAAGUAUUAAUACAUCCAAAUAAAACCUAACAUUCAUAUGCAAAUAACAAUGAAGGUAGAGAUUACUUGUAAGAGAUGAUUGCAAUUGAGUGAAUCCGCAGAACUCAGUAGACUCAAACUGCAAAACAGAUGGGGAAAAAUCAAACCCAUUAACAGAGUGAAGAAAUUUUUUAAAUCUUUAAACGAAUUCUGGACAGAAUCAUGUAAAGGGUCUGUUUUGGCUACCGAGAAACUUAGUAUACAUUUAAAUAUUAUUACAUGUUAAUACAAAAAUUUAGCUUUAUUCAGAUGGGAGAGAUCAAAGGUUGCAUCAUUCAGCUUCACACAUGGCUACAACACAAUUUCAAAAACUCUUGUCAUCUCAAAGUCACAUUCUUUAUCAAACUCCCACUCCAUAAUCGAACAGAGGUUGAUAACGGACAAAAAGAAACACAAAGUACGAAAUAUAAUCAAUAUCAUCAGUCAAAACUUACUGCAAAGGGUGAGGGGUCAACCAUGUGAUUUUUUGCCCCUUAACCUCGGCCUGCAUGGACAAACAACGGAAGAAUUCAUACCCAAAUAACACAAUAACAUAAAAUGGCAGGAAUGUAAAUAAUACAAAAUCGAGGGUCCAACACACGUUGAUAUGUCAUCGUGGUUUCCAAUUGAACCAUGAAUUCCAGAAUGUAAAUCAUACCUUGAGUAUAAGAAAACCAGAAAAGGAAAAUUAAAUCCCUCACAAAUGGUGGAAGAAAAUAUGAGAAACCUAUAUUAGUCCCAACGGUGUGAGUUUUCAUCAAAGAAGUAGACAAUCCACACGCUAAAUCACCAAUCAAACAUGAAGAUGAUCACAAAGAAGAAAUCCCUAAAACCAAUAUUUUAUUAGAGUUGAAAAUCGAAAUUAAGCCAAAACGGAACCGACACUACCCAAAUUAAGCUAAAAAUUCACUAACCCAACAUAAAGGCAAAGAAAAAUCACCUCUAGAUGACUGCCAUUGAUUCAAUGCAAAGAGAGCUCAAGCUGCUUAAUAUUGUUCUGAAAUUAGAGAGAGGGUGUGAGAGAUCAUGAGAGGACGGAGGGGCGAAUGGCGGAGUGAGAUUCAGCGCGUCUCUUCUCUGCAUAUAAAAGAUGCCGCACAAUUAUGCAACUUACUCCAUAGACUUAUAAACAUCACAAUUAUAAAUUCUGAAACUGAUAUAAAUUGAAUAGAAAUACACAAAGCAUAAACAAAUUCAGCAUAUGAACACCAAAACUUACCAAACUCAUGUGCUUGCUUGAAGCUGUUUUUGAUCAUUUUUCUACAAUCUACUGCAUAAAAAGGACCAAACUAUAACGGCAAACUAUAUAUAUAAUUUGCUAUAAUACCCAAAAAAAUUAAAUUACAUUAACAUUUGAGUGGAAGCCACGACCAAAGUGGUAAAAUUGAAGAAAACAUCAAAAUCCCAGAAAAAAAAACAAAUUCUUUCAGAAAAAAUCAAAGAAAUUUACUCAGGUAAUCAAUCAAUUAUGUACCUAAUUCCCCUGAUGUCUUGAAUAAAUAUAACACUCCAAGAUAAAUUAACUACCCAAUAUUAAUUUUUCCUGUUUCUUUCUUCUUAUUCUCGGGAAAGAAACAAACCCAAAACAAAUAAUUGAAGAAAACAUACAGAAAAUAUUGGGGAGGAGUAACAUACAAUCUGCUGAGUUCUUAUUCGCUUUGUAGAUAAGAGAUGGUGGCUUCUCAUCGAGUUCAUGUAUGUAUUGCCUGGAGUGAGAUGGUGAGCGGGCGUGAGAGAAUAGGGCAGUGAGAGAGAGUCGGGAGAGAAAAAGAGGGAAAGAAAUGGCGAUGGAAACGGACGGAAACGUAGUCGAAGCAGAGCAAUCCACGAUGAUUAACGCGUGGGCGCUCUUAAACUGUGCAAAAGCAGUGGUAAUUUUGUAAAUAAAUCGAAAUUUUCAAUUUGCGGUGAAGAGAUGAUGGUAAUUUUGUAAAUAACUCAAAAUCCACUCCAAGUUACUAUUCAUUUGAAUAGUGCAAUUGAAAAGCUUUCUUUAGACAAAAGCUAGAAAAAAUGCCCGCGCUUCGCUGCGGGUUUUGAAACUAUUAGCCAUAAUAGACGUGAAUAAUUGGCACGAAAAGAUGCAUUACAAAGGCGACACAAAUGGAGUCAUGUCCUAAAAUGAACCAGUGCAGAUGAAUAAUUUGCAAAAUCACAUUCAGUUUCAUUUCUAUAGGUCAAAAAACAAAGAAAACAUGUAUAUUAACUUGUCAUAUUUUAUAAAACUAAAAGCAUGGACAAUUCAGUGCACCUUGGUUGCACAUUUGUCAUAUCCAGCAGCUCACAUCGGCCACCCCCCACUGGAAUCCAAGGCUGAGGGAAGCCAUCUGCGGGAGUUGUCAUCUGAAGCACCACUCUUAUCUUUGCCUUUGUCUGAUUUGAUAUGUUGCUUACUAUUGCAUGGAUGCCAAGUAGCUUCAACAGCCUUCGAUGUACACAUAUCUGAAAUGCGGUCUUGUCCUACUGUUAGAAGCAAAGAUAGGAGCCCUAAUAGCAUAUUCUCAAGAGCUUCAUAGAGAGCUCUUUUGUUUCUCUUUGUCAACCACUGCAAGGAUUGCAAUUCAAAUUUAAUCAAAAUAAUUCAUUUCACAUUCAUAAUAAACCCGAAAGUGACUUGAUAAGAUGAAAUUAACCCAAUUACGUGUGAAAGGAAACCUUUCCAAUUAAAUGAAUGAAAUAUUUGAUGUGGAUCAAAACCAAAACCAAAUGAAAACAAAUAUCGACAACUGCCCAAGUUGGUGUUUGCCCCAAAGGUCUUCCUCCUCCUCCUCCUGCCAUCCUUUAAUUGAAACCCUAAUUUUCCUUACUACUAAAUAAUGCUAUUUUCGAUCUAUUUCUUUCGGUGUGUAAACUUUACUAAUUCUCGAUAAUUUUCAAUCACUUCCACUGUAAUUAAAAUAAGUACUGAGUAUAUACACACUCAUAAAAACACAAAUUCAGUUUUCCAUUCUAAAAAAUGAACGAAAGCACAUACUCCAAGUCAAUGUUCCUACUAUAUUCAUUAAUCCAACGAUGCAUCAAAUAUAAAAAUUAAAUUAUACCUCUAAUUUAUAACCUUUUGAUCUUGCUUCAUCUGCAGCUAAACCAAAAUUUGGACAAUCCCCAAUAUAAUUCCGUCAAAAUCCACAUAGCAACACCAUGUAAGAAUCAUAUUGGGUGUCUACACCCACACUUAUCAAUGUACACAUAAAUUUGAAAUCUGAAUCACUUGGGCUUCAAAGAAGGCCAAAAGUCUUUGUAUUCAAGCAUUUAAUACUCUACAGAAAUUAACUAAACACAGCCACAUUGAAUACCAAACCCACUUACUUACCAUCUUAUCCAACUCUUAUUUCGUAAAUUUUUCUGGUAAAGAAGCGUAGUUUAUCCUGAGCUCUGCAAUAGAAUAAUUCAAUUCUUCUUCAUUGCUUUUCAAUAGGAUCCCUACAAUCAAACAAACAUAAUUACUCUAGUAAAUAACUUCAAUUUAAAAUGCAAAGAUAUAACAGAAAGGAAAGUGAUUAAUUAAAAAAUAAAACUGUUAAAACAACAGACUGAUACACUUAACAUGCCAAUUUAUAUACUAUAUAACAAUACUAAAUCAAUUAAUUUAUAAAGAUUAGAAAUGGAUUACAAAAAGCAGAAAUCUUAUUUGGCAUGUAUGAAAAUGAUACACACAUUCUUAGCCAAUCAGCAUGAAAAAGGUAUAGAAAACUAAUUUACUUUGUUAACUUUGGACAACUGGAGAGAUGAAAGAACUCUUAGUUUUUACUAUAAGUAUGACAACCAUGUGAUUUCAUUGUUAAUUGGGACUGAUGUGUGUCAUUAGGAUUGCCAAAAUUAGUGAUCUUAGAGUUUGGCAGCCAAUGACCGAAUUGGACUCAAGUUUAUCAACAUUUGAUUCAACUAAACUAAAUUGGAUACGCUCAUUAGCAUAGAAAUAUGUAUACCAUAUGACAAUAUUGAAUCAAGUUAUUUGCAAAGAUUUAAAAUGCAAUGUAAAAAGGAAAAAAUUUAUUUUAUAUGUAAUAAAAUGAUUAACAAAUUUUUUAUUGAGCAGUAUAAAAAAGGUAUUAAAAACUAACCUAAUUUAUUAAGUUUGGAAAAAUUGGACAGAUAAAAGAAAGCUUUUAAUCCUUACUAUAACUAAAAUAACUAUGUUAUUUCAUUAUCAAAUAGGAUUCAUACGUGUAAUCAGGGUUAAGAAAAUCACUGAUUAAAGAAUCUGCCAGAAAUCAUCAAAUUGGACUUGAACUUACCAAUUUCUGAUUCAAAUAAACUAAGAAAAGGAGUUGGAAUCAAACUAACCUCUGUUUUCUAUAUGCAGCAAACUGCAUCUUGUUUUUGCCCUUGUUAACAACAUAUCUUCGCUCUGUACACACCAAAAAACAGUAAACACCUCAUUCAUUACUAACAGCCAUUUCAAUCAAUUAAUUAUUUAGACAAAUUUUUCAACGAUUCCGAAGCUCAGACAAAAAUUGCAUGAGAAAAUUGAGAUUAUAUGCAAUUGGAUGUCAAAGAACCUGAAAAUACCAUAUAUCCAAUAUUUAGUGCAUACACCUAAAAACUAAUCUUUAUAUAUACUUUAAAAUAAUACAGAUCAAUGUAAUCUAAAACAUUGGAAAUGCAUAUCAGUGCAAGCCAAGGUCUCAAGUUCUCAGAGUGGGGAAUUACUGAUUAGAACAGUUAAUUCUCUGCUCCUUUUUGGGUAUGAACUAAUUAGCAUAGUAGCCAUAAAAAUACGAAACAAAAGCUCAAUAAUUUAUGCAAUUUGGUUAAAUUUUAUACAAUUUCUAGCAAAACCCAAAACUCAAUAAUACAAAAGGAACCCAAUAGAUGAUUAAAGCAAUUUUAUACACAACUUAUGCAAGUCCAAAGAAACGCAUUUGAUCAAACUUACUGAAUACUGAAAAAAAAAAUUACAAUCAAAGUACGGAUUAAUAACUACCUCAACAACUAACAGAGCCAAAGCCAAACCCUAGAGCUUCGAAGGGCAGAGACGAUCACAGAGACAAGAAUAGUCCUUAUUCCUUCCCACUGCUGCUGCUGCCACUUUCUCUCUCUAAAAACCAAUUGGAAAUUGUUUAUAAAGAGACAGAGAGGAGAGGGCUAUGAUGAUUGGAUGAAAGAAGCAUGAAAAACUAAAAGACAUGUAAGCUUGAAUUCGAGUCCCAAAUUGAAAAUAUAAGGGAGGAGUGUAAGGGUGGCUUACCGAGGUCAGGAGAGGUGAGUCUCAUAGGAAAAGUCGACGAACAGUGGCAGGAGCCAGUGCACAGUGAAAGGCCUCGCCUGUGUCUCCUGAACAGAACAGAGUGAGUGAUAGUGGUUCUGUGAGAUGGAGCGAGUGGUGGUGGUGCUGUAGUCAUGUUUUGCCGGAAAAUGGAGGCUUUGGUGCGCCUCGGUGUUUACAGAGAAAAGAAAGGGGAGUCCAGGGAGCUAGUGGUUGUUUGAUGGAGUUGAGGCUCGCCGGAGUGGCGAGUUGUGAUGUGGACUCAGGCCUCUCGGCCUCUGGGUUUUACGGAGAAGGGGAAGAUGGUUUAGGGUUGAGAGAGAUGGAGGGACGGCUAGGUUUUAGAAAAGAUGAAGAAGAAUGGGGGUGAGCAGCGCUGGGGCUACAUGUUGAGGGAAAUGAAGAGAGAGCAAGAAGAAGUCGAAGGCAGUGAACCCUACGGACAAAUUUACCCUUCUAAGUUAUAAUAAUUACCCUUCCAACCCAGCCCAAAUCUGAUGGGUUCCUUGUAAAUAAGGUGAAAUCAAGUGGCAAACAAUUGACUGUAGCCAUGAACAGUAAGGAACAGUGCCAAUUGAAAAGCCUUCUUUAGACUAAAGUAAUAAGGCUUUUCAAUUGCACUAUUCAAAUGAAUAGUAACUUGGAGUGGAUUUUAAGUUAUUUACAAAAUUACCAUCAUCUCUUCAUCGCAAAUUGAAAAUUUCGAUUUUUUCACAAAUUACCACCGCUUUUGCACAGUUUAACAGCGCCCACGCGUCAGUCAUCGUGGAAUGCUCUGCUUCGACUACAUUUCCGUCCGUUUCCAUCCCCAUUUCUUUCCCUCUUUUUCUCUCCCGACUCUCUCUCACUGCCCUAUUCUCUCACUCCCGCUCACCAUCUCACUCCAAGCAAUAGAUACAUGAACUCGAUGAGAAGCCACCAUCUCUUAUCUACAAAGCGAAGAAGAACUCAGCAGAUUGUAUGUUACUCCUCCCCAAUUUUUUCUGUAUGUUUUCUUCAAUUAUUUGUUUUUGGGUUUGUUUCUUUCCCGAGAAUAAGAAGAAAGAAACAGGAAAAAUUAAUAUUGGGUAGUUAAUUUAUGUUGGACUGUUAUAUUUAUUCAAGACAUCAGGGGAAUUAGGUACAUAAUUGAUUGAUUACCUGAGUGAAUUUCUUUUAUUUUGUCUGAAAGAUUUUUUUUUUUCUGGGAUUUUGAUGUUUUCUUGAAUUUUACCACUUUGGUCGUGGCUUCCACUCAAAUGUUAAUUUAAUUUACUUUGUUUGGGUAUUAUAGCAAAUUAUAUAUAUAGUUUGCCGUUAUAGUUUGGUCCUUUUUAUGCAGUAGAUUGUAGAAAAAUGAUCAAAAAUAGCUUCAAGCAAGCACAUGAGUUUGGUAAGUUUUGGUGUUCAUACGCUGAAUUUGUUUAUGCUUUGUGUAUUGUCUAUUCAAUUUAUAUCAGUUUCAGAAUUUAUAAUUGUGAUGUUUAUAAGUCCACGGAGUAAGUUGCAUAGUUGUGCGGCAUCUUUUAUAUGCAGAGAAGAGACGUGCUGAAUCUCACUCCGCCAUUCGCCCCUCUGACCUCUCAUGAUCUCUCACACCCUCUCUCUAAUUUCAGAACAAUAUUAAGCAGCUUGAGCUCUCUUUGCAUUGAAUCAAUGGCAGUCAUCUAAGGAUGAUUUUUCUUUGCCUUUUUGUUGGAUUAGUGAAUUUUUAGCUUAAUUUGGGUAGUGUAGGUUCCGUUUUGGCUUAAUUUCGAUUUUCAACUCUAAUAAAAUAUUGGUUUUAGGGAUUUCUUCUUUGUGAUCAUCUUCAUGUUUGAUUGGUGAUUUAGCGUGUGGAUUGUCUACUUCUUUGAUGAAAACUCUCACCGUUGGGACUAAUAUAGGUUUCUCAUAUUUUUUUGCACCAUUUGUGAGGGAUUUAAUUUUCCUUUGUGGGUUUUCUUAUACUCAAGGUAUGAUUUACAUUCUGGAAUUCAUGGUUCAAUUGGAAACCACGAUGACAUAUCAACGUGUGUAGGACCCUUGAUUUUGUAUUAUUUACAUUCCUGCCAUUACCAAAAAGCAUGGGCUGCAGAGAGAGAGGGAGAUAGGCGGGGGAUGGCAGGGAGGGGAAGGGAGAGGGAGGAGUGAGGUUGCUAUAAAAAGGGGUUAUGGUUGAUUUUUUUUUCUCCUCAAAUCAAGGGUUGGUGUCGGGAUUAAGGGAUGUGUCAAAAUUGCCAAUAGAAGCCUAAAUUAAUGGGUAGUUGUCGGUGAUUGAGAGAUUGAGAGGGAGAAAAUUGGGGGAGGUUGUCACUGACCCGAUGGAGUGAGGGAUUUUGUGAGGAUUAACUAACUUAUUGACUAGGAACACAAGACAAGACAUGCUUCCGGUAAACCGCCUCCGUCGCUUUCCUCCUCUCGCCUCCGUCUACCUCCUCUCCCUUUCUUCGUCUCCCCCUCCUCCUCUCUCUCUCUCUCUAUGGAAUCGAUCGAUCUUCGAAGAGGAUAAAAAGAUCUGAAAUGGUGUGCUUCUUCUACUGUGAUUCUGUGUUUUUAAUUUUUCUGGGUUUGGCUUCUUCUUUUAUUCCACUACUAAUUUACAAAAAUAAUGAAUUUUGUACAUUUUGUUUUUAUUUUACUUUUUGUUAUAUUUCAUUGUAAUAUCAAAUAGAGUUGGUAUUUUAAAAUCUCACUGCAAUGUUUUUUGUUAUAUUGUUGGUGGGUAUCUUUAAUUAUGCCCUGAUGGAGAAAGGCAAAGAGGACAGACCUGGAUUUGGGGCAUAAAAGGGAUCUUUAGAUUUCUGUGAAAGUACUUUGUGCCUUUUUGCUAUUGGUGAUGAGUGUUCAUGAAUAUUUAUGCUUUAAUAUAGCUGUUACAGGAGCAAGUUGUUUAGUUAAAAUCCUAAGAAGAUUAGGGUAAAACAUUCCGGCUCUCUCAUUAUUGAUAGUCUGAAUUUCUGCAAUCUCUGAGAUAUAUUUGGGAUAGUUUUAUAGUGAUAUACAUCAAGGUUCAAGAAAAACUUUGCUGCACUGCACUAUAGGAGUAUCUGGUUGAUGAAAUUUUUCUGAUUUAAGCAUUUAGCUCCUCGAUUGCAUUAAAUCAGUAUUUAAAGAAGUUUUUGUCUGAGAAUGCAUUGAUAGAAUUUUUUUUGCCCAAAAAUUAACUCACAGAGCUUCCUGUGAGUUAGUCUUAGCUUUUGAUUUAAUUUUUUUAGAAUUAUUAUCAUUUUUUUUAUCUCUGCUGCUGUUUUGGAUUUUUUUUAAUGAUUUUUAUGCGAUGUUCAUCUGUGUAGGCACUCAAAUUAGUGUUUUGGAGUGCAUAUGGACCAGACACCACAAAAGAGAAAACGGAAACCAAAAUCAGAGCCAUCAAAACAAACAAAUGCUGGUAUGUCCUAAAAAAGGUUGGUUUGUGCACUUUCAAAGAAUACAUGGAAGAAGAUAAUAUUGAUCAUGGUGUAGAAUGUGAUGGUAAUGUGGUUGAAAAAGAUAAAAUGUUGCACGAAAAGAUCUCAGAGCUCAUUGACGAAAAUAUGCAGCACCAGGCUGAGUUGAUAAGGAGAAACAAGGAGAAUAGUGAAACAAUUGAGUGGCUUUUAUCCCAGGUGCAUAAGCUAACGGAUGAGAACAAAAUUUUGAAGAUUAAUCUGGGAAUCCAUAAGGAUACUACUGAUCAUACAAUUGCAAUCCAUAAGGAUGCUACUGAUUAUACAAUUACAAGGCAAAACAAGCCUCAGUUUUCAAAGUCUAAGUCCAUAGGGCCAUCUUUCCCUGGAAGGCUCACUGGAUGCCUAGAACUUGGAUCUUAAUUAGCUACUUUUCAACUUUAGUAGGUAGCGUUAUAAGUUUUCAAAUGUAUCUGUUUAUAUGCUUUCAUAAUACAUGUGAAGAUUCCGAGUCAAUUAUAACAUAUUUUAAUUUUUAAUUUUAUGAGUAUAGAAAAGGAAUUGAAUGCUUCGUUAUUUUGAUCUUGCAGCUGAAGCCAAGUCUGGAUAGAGAGAAAGAUCUCAUGGUAGGAAUCAUGGACUUGAUGAAGGUGAGGUUAACAAAGUGUGCUUUAGCACCAAGAUUGGAAUCUGGGUGUUCUGAGUUUUGUUUUGUUGUGAUUUUUCUAUAAUCUAGAUGCUGAAAUACUUGGAGUUGGAAUUAAUAAGAAUUGAUUGAACAUGGAUUUUUUAUUAGAUUGGUAUGGCUGACAUAGUUAAGAAGUAGUUUAAGAUGCAGUGAUUAGGGCAUUUCUUUAACUGAACAUAUUUGUUUUCAUGAGGUAGAUAGAAUCCUCUGUAAUUUAAUUAAUUAGAUUGAAAUUUGGGGUCUGGAUUCUUAAACUACUAUGGUGGUUAAUGUAGCUUUUUUGGUGAAUUUUUCAAGUGGGGAAAAAGAGGUGGGUGUGGGAUUUAUAUUGUUAUUCUCAGUUGGUAUAUAAAUAUUUGAGUGUGCAAGAAAUGGUUACCAUACAAAAAAUACAAGAACUGAAAUUAGAAGGGAUAAUGGCAGUUUGCAGAGGGUUGGUUCAGGGAUGGUAAAAGUUGUGUACGUGGCGAGAUUAAUGGAGGUGGUUUCGUGGUGGCGUAGUUCUCCGUGAAAAAUGGCGACGGUGGUCGCCUUGCUAUUUCUGUGCAGCGAGCACAGUAUCAAGAGAGAGAGAGAGAGAGAGGUGAGGGAAAUAGGGAGAGUAGUAGAGAGGGAGUGAGACAUGAGGGUGGUGGCAAGCUGGUGCCUUGAGGGAGUGGCGAGUGAGGUGGUGAUAGUUUCUCGAACGGGAGAUUUAUGGUGUACUAGAGAACUUGACUCCUCUCUCAGUCUGGUCUCCGGAAGAGAAAACCAAACAUAGCUAUGCAUUAGCAAAGUUUGAAAUGAGGGUUUUUAAUCUUUGGCAUGCUAUUGUCUUUAUUUGAUCAUUCUUUGAAAAAAAUUAUGAUGGACAAGUGAAAUAAACUGAAUGAAAACUUGGAGAAGAAGUUCUGAUUUUUAAUAUCUUUAAUCCGGGAUUAUUGUGAUGCCCUUUGACAAUUGAAAUGUGAAUGCAUUAUGUUGCUUAGAACACAAGUCAAUAUUUUUUAAACUGUGUUAGGUAUGAUGGAUGCUAUAGAUAGAAAAAUGUUGGCUUAAGGUUGGAUUCCAGGUAAAUAUGUGCUAUCCUGGAUGAUGGAAUUGCAUAGCAUCCUAAGUUUCUUUCUAUAUUUUCCUGAACAGAUUUACUGAAAAUGUUUUUCAAGGAUAUUCAACAAUAACUUUAAUCUUCAGACUUUCUCAUUGUUGCAGUCUCUAAUGCUUUAGUUAAUCCUAUUAGCCUAUUGUUAGAUCAAUUAAAAGAGUGUUUUAGCCUUCUGUUAGUGUUUCAUCUUAUAUACUUUCUCUCAUUGUUAGAUCAGUUGUGAUUCUGUGUGGUUCAUGUUUCCGGGUGUAAAAUUGUUCAUACAAUCUCACUUUUGCAUCUAAUUAGUGAGCCAAAAAGAAAAUUUUUAACAUUUUAAAUCCUAAUUAUCUCUAUUUCAGCCAAUGCAUAUUUUUUCCACCUAAAAGUCUUUGAUGCAUGUCUUCUUUUUUUUUUUUUUAGUAUUGAAACAUACAUUGUUCGAAAUUUGUUGAGCACUUGAAACUUUACAAGUUAAGAUUUGGAAUUUUAUGAUAUAUGAUAACUGCUUUGUAUGUUUGUUGUUGAUUAAGCACGUGGGAUACAACUCGGUCUUAGACACUUAAUAAAGGUUUAUCGUUUGAAAUUAAUGGGGCACAUGUUAUUCUCAUGAUAUUGGCUGCAAAUGCUGCAGAGUGAUUACAGAAACCAACGCAGAAAAAGCUUUAUAGGUAACUUUUACAUUUAUAGCAUUUCAGAAUUCGCAUAAAUACCAGAAAACAUCUUGAAAGACUACCAUUUCAAGUGGAUCUUUUCUUUCAUGUGGAAACCAAGCUUCCUUUUUCUUAACUCAUUCUAUUAAAACUUCAAAUUAUGUUCAAUUUGUUGAUUGGCUGUUAGCACUUAAGUUGAUCUAUUUAUUUCCAAUGUACCCUUUUUUAUGCAUGAGUGCUUUUCUGUUGCAUGUUUAGAAGAUGAAUGCAUCAAUUCUUAGGUAACCUUCUUUUUGUUCUGUGACGUAGGACAGAGUAGGACAGCGGAAAUUAGAUUGUUUAGCGGAAGUGAAACGACAUAAAACUUAAAUUGAAACAUCAUAUGCUUCUGUUUUAUAGGACUGGGGGGGGGGGGGAUAAAAACAGUAUAUUUUGUUGUUGCAUGUUUCAUUUAAUUCAAACUUUCAAAUAUACACUCUCUCUCUUCAUUAUGCACAGUAUGUUGAUGUGAACUGAAUCUAAAUAAUUUGUCUUUCUGUCGAAAAUAUUCAUAGUAUGUCCUGCAUUACAGUUUCAAAACCCACAGCAGCACGUGGGCAAUUUUAUUUUCCCUCUCCCUAUAUGUAGUUUAAUAUAAUUCAACGAGUUCAAAGAGAAUGAUCAGAAUGAAGGUUUGUAUUAGAUCCGAUGUGCUUCCUCUUUCUAUGCAUUUUGGUUCAAAUUAGGGUUUUAGGUUGAAACCCGAAACGAAAAGAGAAUAAAGUUUUCAGGAUGUUCGGAUUUUGUGUUUCGAUGAGAGGAAAAAAUGAGAAAUUUGUUAAGAAAAGUUGUGGUCGGAUUUUACAUGUUUACCGUUUUCAAGGUACGGUGUUCAUCGAUCUUAACUUUAAAUUUGUUUCUCAAUUUUUUUGUAGUUUUGGAUUUGUAAAAACCCUCGAUUGAAUCGGGUGCUGGUAUGGUCCCUUACAGGAAAAAAAAGUUUCAUUUUUUUCCCCUUAAAAUUUUAGUUUUUGUUAUUUUCUUUUUUCUUCACAAAGGAACUUAGGUGGUAGCUGUAUUACUAAUUAGCUACAGAAUUUAUAUAUUCUUAUGAGUACGGUAUGGGUGCAGGUUUGCUAUGUUGCUUUUUGGGAUGAAAUUACUUUAAAUACAAAGGAAAAUUUGAUCGAUAUUAUUGGGUUGUACGCAGAAAUCUAAGUUUUACCUAUUUUGAUAAUGCUUGGUUUUUGUGUAUUGAGUUGGAUAGACAGUUCAUAGGUUUGGUUCCAUAUUUAUUCGGAGAAGAAAAACACAAAGAGGGCAACACAAUAACCCUAGGAUGAUUAUAUAUGGAAUGAAUUAAAUCUAUUAACGAAUUAUAUUUUGGGUGGUGUUAGGGAGAAACGCCUACACUCCAAAUAUUUAUGAAUUGGAUUCAUUAUAAAAUAGGUAAAUUGUAUGCAUUACUUCUUUUGGCACUAAAUCUUUUGUUAAAUUUUAUUUUGCUGACUUUUAGUUUUUGACUUUCCUUUGGCAGGACUUUUAAUUAAGCAUGCAUCUUUGGUGUAAUAUUAUCAUAUUCUUGAGGUUUGAAUUUUUUACUCUUACUUUUGUGACCAUUAUAUGUUUGCGUAUCUCUCUUUUGGGUUAUCCAUCAAUUAAAAAUUAUUAUGUGAGGAUUUUGAUUGUUGACUUAUCAUUGGUAUAUUUCAAGUGGUUUUUGAUAUUUUGAUAGGUGUUGGAAAAAAAAGAUGAAAUUGUUUUGCGCUCAACGCAUAGUUAAUCUUAAAAUAGGGUUUAUUAAAUUGGUUUGAUGAUAUAUAGGUGGUAACAAAUUAAUGAUGUCAACUCCUACAAGGAAGAGGCUGAUGAGAGAGACUUCGAGAGGCUGCAACAAGACCAGCCUGCGAGGAUUAGUGGGGCGCCUCAGGAUAACAAUAUAAUGUUGUCGGCGAGGUUAGUUAUUUUUUAGGCUUUGCUUCUACAAACGUGAACUCUUUACAUGGAAACCGAAUUUUAUGUGAAUUUUAAUAGUUAUAUAUCAAACUCCUCUGCACUGAACUCUGUGUAUUACAACAAUUAUAAUUAGAACUUGGAUGAAAUGGGCUCCAUCCAGCAAAACUCCUGCCCUAACAAUAAUAAUUAGAACCAAAUUUGAUAAUUUCUCAUAGUUUAGGCCAUUUGGCCAAGUCAGAAUGAGAAACAUAGAUGUUUUCUUUAUCUUAUGCUAUUUGUUUGGCUGUAAAUCGUAUGGAGUAAAUCUCAUGGUGUCAUUCUAAAUAAACUGGAAAUAUGUCUCAUGCAAAAUUAAUGUUGAUGUUUAUCAAUGGAAAUAAGUUUUGAAGUGAUUACCUUUCUUUAUACAAGUUCUCUUCACAAUGAAACCUAUAUUAUAGUGUCACUUUUACUUGCUUUCGCACAAAAGGGGUGUCUGGACAUGUAAUUGGCGUGUCAUUACUCACUAAAUCUUUUUUAUCCUUAUCUUCUAUAUUAAUAUCACCAUUUUUUUGGGUGCUCAUUGAGUGGUUUGGCAGGUAAUAGAUAAAGGUUUUAAUGCAUUCAUUUAAUGUUAUUACAGAUCUGCUAAAUUCUUCAAGAAGUCCGGUUUACAGAACUGAAGCUGUUUAAGCACAAGGUGUCCCAGUUUAUAGAUGAGGUAUUAUAAAAUUUAAAAAGCGUCAAUAUUAUCAUUACUGAUCCUUAACAUUUAACUAUCAAAGCUUGAGUUUAUAAUAAUUAAUUCUUCACUGAUGAUAUGUUGUGAUGGGGUUUAGUAAUUUUCAGUAUUCUUCAAUUCUUUUAAUCUGCAAAAUCAAAUAGCCCAUGGAAUUUAUGGCAUACAAUUAGUUUCCUUUCAGUUGGGUUGAAAUGAUAUUGAUUGUGUUGUUAUGAAGCUCCUUUUUAUAGUUAGGUUGAAAAUCAUAUUGAUAGAUUCUUUAUUUGGUUGGUCCUAUCUGUAACAAAUGGGAUUGUUUUGUUUGAUGUUUGAAUCAAAAUUUGAUCUUUUUUUGUGUGAAAUUAUGAUGGAAUCGCAAAUUUGUGAGGUAUAUCUUAGAUUAUUGGUUGCAUAGUCACCUUCCCACAACUAUCACAUUGUCUCUUGACUAGAUGAAUUUUUAUAAUUUCUAGGAUCUACGGUUGCAAUGCUUUUGAUGCAUGCAAUCAGGAGGAUGCUACUACUCUUAUGGAGCUUCUUUGGCAUGGUAAGUUGAAGUUGCAUAGCAUUUUUUUUUCGUUCACGAAAUUCGUUAUCUUGCUAUCCUGGCAAUUAGCAGUGUCUGACAACUGGUGAAGUAUAUGAAUAUAUGUGGAAGUUUGAAUUAUACAAAUGAAAGUGAACUUUUAACAACUCUAACUUAGAAUUUUUAUUAAUUUCUUUCAUUUGUGUUCGACUAUUUUACUUUUUUGGUAUAUAAGUACAACUAUAGAUCGAAAACCACAUAAAUUACCUAACAGCCAAGGAAUUGUUUGUGGUAGAACAUAACAUGAUGUAAAGCUCAAAUUUUGGGCACUUAAAUAUAUGUUUUUUUUUUUUCAAUUACAAUCAGUCAGCAUGAAAGUUCAAUUGGAUUUGUUCUGGUCUCCAAAAAUUUUUCUUUGUUUGGUUACCGAUUAAUUUAUGUGGUGAGAGUUUAGUUUUUGCUUUUCUGCCUAUGUAUAUAUGAUUUGAAAUGGACAAUUCAAUUUUCUAUAUAUAAAUUUGUAGUCGAAGAGUUCGAAGGAGAGGUGAAUUAGAAACAAUGGGGGGAAGAGUGAUGGAGUUGAGGAGUUGAGAGUUAAUGAGGUAUACUUGAAUUUCUGUAUGAUGUCCUUGGUAUUGGGAGAUCAUUGAGACUAACUAUCUGGUUGAUUAAUCACGAUGUCCUUGGUAUUGGGAGAUCAUUGAGACUAACUAUCUGGUUGAUUAAUCACUAAUUUGAACUAUUUGUGCUUGGAAAAUUAGCUACUUGAACAAGUACUGAACGCUUUCUAUGUUUUCUCUUAUUAACUGCUGAAAUAGGUGCCUGCCCUAUAGGACACAUAUUUUGCCUUCUUAACUACAAGGGAAAAAUAUGUGUGAAUUGCAUGUUGCUUAUGUUUCUUAUGGAAACAGAACUUUUUUUGGCAACCAUGUCUUUGUGAUCAAGAAUGUUCAGUUUCUUCCUACUAAUUGUGCAAUGUCUUUACAUGUCAACUUAGUGGAAUGUAUAUAAAAGUCAAACUACUUAUCUUAUCGAUCUCAUUCACUCAUGUGUCCCUCUGUUCAUUCAUGAUUGUGUUGAAUUUUUUCAGGUAAAAUGUGUCUUAUUCAUGCAGUUACGCCUGAAAUAGUGGUUCCCACUGCAACACGUGGGCUUAUUUUCUAGUUAUGUCUAUUUUUGUCAUUAUACAAAAUUUCCAAAAUUUUACAUUAGUAUUUACCAAACGCUUUUAUACUACUUUUCAUACUUACAGCAGUUUUAAAAAUACAGUUUACCAAACGUUCAGCUGCUUUAUUUUACAGCUGAUUAUUCUUAAAGCACAACUGUUGACCCUAAAAACUACAAAGCCUACGUGGCGCGCAGGCCGAGUAAUUAAUGAGCUAACUACGUCCUUCGGUGAAUGCGGGGCGUGCCAACUCGUCGGCCGAGCUCGGCCGAGGAGUAAAUUUGUUGAUGUUGCGUUGGGUCGCGCUACUGACUUCUGCGUCUUGCCAUUGCGGCCGAGAAAGGAACACGUCUCGGCCUCUUGGGCUCUCGAACCUGAAGACAAGGUUACUAUUCUUACGAAGUUCAAAAUCAAAUUCGGCUUUCAAUGUGCCGAAUGUAAUAACUGUAACACCUCACUUCGCCGAGAAGGCUGAUGAGAUGACCUCGACCAAUAAGGAUUUAGAAACCCUUCUCGACCGAGACUUGGAUAGGUAAUCAAUCGUUCUCGCCGCAGUGCUGUUGAUGCCAACGGAAGGUACUGCGAGACCGACUGACUCUACAGUGACAGAGCUAUCUAUGCCGACUUAAGAUAUCACCGGUUGCUUCCACAGUGCUGUUGAUGCCAACGGAAGAUGUGUCAGUGAAAAAGGAAAAAGAAAAAUCACAAGUUGUGAGAGUUUGCGCAGGGCAAUUUUGUAUUGAUUUUGUGGGUCUCGUUCCGUUGCCACUGCCUCUCUAUUUAUAGAGCUAACUUAGCAUAAAACCCGGCCGUGACCAUCAAUCACCACCACAAAUAAUAAUCGUUACGCGAGGAUGAUUAUCCAAUGAGAAUCGUAGCACUCAAAUCUCUUUGGUGCUAACGCAUUUCAGCCAAAACCACAUAACAAAUCAUGGCAUGCCAAUUCCGUCUUUUGCUAAAGAUAAGCAUUGUCGUUCAAAUCCUAGUCCCAAAGCCCUGGCAUAUCAAGCUUUAUCCAUAGGAUAUUCACUUCACCUAUUUGGCAACCUUGAAUUUGCUAAUAAUUAUCCCAUGCAUGCAUCACAUUAGCUUACGUAAUUAAUCUUUCAAGUUGGACUCCACCUUGAUCACCAACUGAUGCCACCACGUGCUAGGACUCUUCUCAUAAUGCAUGAUGCUUAAUCCCCGCGUCGAAUGAUAAGAAUCCCACAUUAAAUCGAACUGUUCUGCUUGCUUCGGUAUAGUUUGCGUCACAUUUAUCUUGUAUAAAAAGUGUCAAGAUAAUUCAUUAUUAAAAGAUCAUUAUUAUGAUUAAAAAUCAUAAUAUUAUCCCCUAACAACAAUAAAAUUAUCUUAACUUUCCUAUCCGACGGUGUGGAGCAAUGCUCACUCAACGGCCUUGAUCGCACGGGCCGAUGAUGUAAAUUGAGGUCCAAACAACAACAGAAGCAGUUUUAAAAAUAAGAACAGCAAUCCCAAACUGGCCCUUAGUCGAGGCGAGUCCUCCUUUGUCCCAUUGAACUUAGUCCUGCCAGUGAACAAACACGGAUUACACUACCUUUUAACUUAAGCUAGUCCAGUGAGAGCUAAAAAGGCAAACAAACAUCCCCUUAAUCGUUUCUGUACAGAGACUGCUAAAGAAACAGCAUGAUCAAAAUCAAAGAAUCAUGAGGCGGCCCCAGCAAGCCCCUCAGCGGCUCUACGUCCCUCCGUCGUCGCGCGACGGAAACAGCCACGACAACUACGAAGACACCGACCUCGACAACAUCGAUUACGACGACAACGAUGGUUCCAAGGACCCCGGGAGUGACGACAACAACCACGGCAACGCUGGCAGCGGUGAUGAAGAAGUCGAUCCUCUGGAUGCUUUCAUGGAGGGGAUUCAUGCGGAGGUGAGGUCAGCUCCGCCGCCGAAGCUGAAAGUGAAGGCCGAGAAGUACAGGGACGAUGAGGAGGAGGAUCAUAUGGAGAGGUUUCUGAGGGCUAAAAGGGACGUGGUGCUCACGCUGGCAUCAGAUGCUUUACACACCAGAUAUGACUCCGAUGAAGAGGUAUAUGCGACCGCCAAGGCCGUCGAUGCCGGGUUGUUGGAGUACGAUUCAGAUGAUAAUCCCAUUGUUCUGGACAAGAGGAAGAUCGAGCCGAUUUCAGCUCUCGAUCAUAGUUCAAUCGACUACGAGCCGUUUAAUAAGGAUUUUUACGAGGAGAAAGAGUCGAUUUGAGGUAAAUUCCAACCGAACUGAGAAUUUGGUUUCUUUCUUUUUUUCUUUCCAUUCACAUUUGUUUUUUAAAUUUUUGUGUGAAUUUAGUCGAAAUGCGUAGCAAAGUAUUUAAAUUUAAGUGGGAGAGAAUAUUGACCGGUAGAAGUUCUCAAGGAGAGAUUUGAAAUGGAAGACUAGAGUUAACUGGUGUUUUGGUUUCCUUGUUUAGGGAUGAGUGAGGAGGAUGUUUUUUAGUACAAGAAGAGCUUGGCCAUCCGUACGUCGGGGUUUGAUGUACCGAGGCCAGUUAAGACAUUUGAAGAUUGUGGAUUUUCUUCACAACUCAUGGCUGCCAUAAAAAAACAAGACUACCAAAAGCCGACACCAACACAAUGCGUAGCUCUACCCAUAGUUCUUUCCCGGAGAGAUAUAAUUGGUAUUGCGAAAACUGGUUCUGGAAAGACUGCCACUCUUGUCCUUCCAAUGAUUGUCCACAUUAUGGAUCAGCCAGAGCUUCAAAAAGAAGAAGGUCCAAUUGGAGUGAUAUGCGCUCCUACUAGAGAGCUGGCGCACCAAAUAUACUUAAGAGUCCAAAAAAAUUGCAAAAUCACAUGGGAUACGUAUCUCUGCUGUAUAUGGUGGAAUGUCUUAAGCUUGAUCAGUUCAAAGAACUUAAGGCAGGAUGUGAAAUAGUUUUUGCUACUCCUGGGAGAUUGAUCGACAUGCUUAAAAUGAAGGCACUGACAAUGCUUAGGGCAACUUACCUAGUACUUGAUGAGGCUGAUCAGAUGUUUGACCUUGGGUUUGAGCCUCAAAUUAGAUCUAUUGUUGGUCAGAUUCGGCCAGACCGACAGACAUUGCUCUUUUCUGCGACAAUGCUCCGUAAAGUUGAAAAAUUGGCUAGGGAGAUUCUCUCAGAUCCUAUAAGAGUUACAGUGGGUGAGGUGGGAAUGGCCAAUGAGGAUAUCACUCAGGUUGUUCAUGUAAUUCCUUCUGAUGAUGAGAAGCUGCCCUGGCUUUUUGAGAAGUUACCAGGAAUGAUUGAUGAGGGUGAUGUUUUAGUAUUUGCUUCAAAAAAAGCUGCAGUGGAUGAGAUCGAGUCACAGCUUGCUCAGAAAGGUUUUUAAGUCACAACUCUGCAUGGUGACAAGGACCAAGCAUCUCGGAUGGAUAUUUUGCAAAAAUUUAAAUCUGGCAUUUACCAUGUUCUUGUUGCAACUGAUGUUGCUGCUCGUGGUCUUGACAUCAAGUCAAUUAAGUCAGUUGUGAACUUUGAUAUUGCAAAAGACAUGGACAUGCACAUCCAUUGAAUUGGUAGAACAGGUCGGGCUGGUGAUAAGGAUGGCACUGCGUACACUCUUAUUACACAGAAAGAGGCACGUUUUGCUGGUGAGUUGGUUAAUAGCUUGGUUGCUGCUGGUCAGAUUGUCUCCACGGAGCUCAUGGACCUUGCGAUGAAGGUAAUUUUGCAUUACUAUUAACAUUUUUUUUUUGUGGUUUAUAUAGCGAGUUUAUACAUGCAUCCAACUACUUGCCUUUUUGUUUUAGAGAUGGUGGUUAUAACCUUAGUUUGUAAUCCUAUAAUGCAUUUAAGGCGAAUACAAGUUAUUAAUAUGUUCUCUGGUAAAACGUGCUCUUUUUAAUGCAAUAUGGAUUCUGGACAAUUACACCUACUGGUGUUUGUCUCACAAAUAAACUACGUUAUCUUCACUCUACUAUAUAGGUGCAUAGGUUGCUUCUGAUUUAGAGUGCGCUUUCGAGAGAGAUGGAUUUGAUGACCAUUUGGUCUUCAAGGCCUUAUUUUGGAAAGCUUUAGUAUGUCCUUGGAAUUACAGGGAUCUUGAGAUCGUUGACUUCAUAACGUCAAGAUAGUCAAUUUCAGGAAAUGUGCUUAGUUUAGGGAGAGAGUAAUUAGACAGUCUUUAGUAGUCCCAUCUUUACUUCAUACCAUGCUCUGCUUAGAAAAGGGGUUGUUGGGGGUGUAUGUUGGCUUGUUGGGUUGUGGAUUGAAGCAUAGAGAUGACUUGAAGAUGAAGCUCAGUCUGGGGACGUAAUAACUUUUGUGUAUUAUUAAGUACUCGCUUGCAUUCUGGGCUACCAAUACAUCGGUUGAGGCCAACCAAUUUGCAUUUAAGAACUAAGAGAAAAAUCGCAUUUUAAGUACUAAAUCUUAAUUACCACAUGGACCCUUAGUAAAUUGUCACUUAUUUUCCCUUGUGCCAAUAUAUCUCAUAGACAUAAAUGCACAGCUUAUCAUGAUAGGUGGCUGCACCUGCAUUAGUUUUAGAAGUUUUACACUAUGAGAGCCACUCAUGCAUCAUUUCUUCAGUCUUGUGACUUUUAAUUCUUGCCUUGCUGCUUGUAGCUUUGUAUUUUAUAUCCAUCAUAAAUACACUGGUUUCCAUCUCCUACAUGGAUGUGCAGUUAUUUUGGGUGCACCUUGUCUGUGGAACUUUUGUUGCUUUCCCUUACUAUGUUUCUUGUUUGAUAGCUUUAGAUGUUAUGUUAGAUUUCAGAUUUUACAUUCUCUAUUUUAAUGGGAUUUACCUUGUUUAUUAUCAGGAUGUUAGAUUCAUAUCAAAAUGUGAUUCAAGAAAAGGAGUUAUAAACUUUAAUCAUAUUAAAAUUUCAAUUUUCUUAAGGUUCUUUUGCAAUUUCAUAUUAAAUAAGCCUUUUUCUACAAUUCAAAUGAUGAUAUUAUAUGGAUUCUGCAGGUGGAAAGAAAGGUAGAGGGAGGGGCGGCGGUGGUCGAGGUGUGCGUGGGGUGGAUUUUGGUCUGGGUAUUGGAUAUAAUACGGAGUCCAAUAGUUCUUCAUCGAAUACUGUUCCUAGUCGAUCUGUUGCAGUAACUCCUCAGAGGACAGGAAUGAUGUCUCAGUUCAAGACUAAAUUUGUUGCCGCUUCAUCUAACUCUCCAAGUCAAGGUUCAGCUAACAGCUCUAGUGUGCCCAACAGACAGGCAUUACGAGGAUUUGUAUCCGGUGGUUCAAUAGGUGGUGAUGUAUAUAGAACUCAGGCAACCAGUACAAUUACUCCUGCUCCUGCUCCAACAUCAAUGGUAAAUAAAACUGCUACUCCGAACACUGGACAAAAUUCAAGUCAGAAACCCUCCGAAAGGUUAAUUAAACUGAUGCUUGGUUAGAAUUUUUUAUGUCUUUACUUAUUUGAUUGGUGUUGAGCAGUUUCAUUUGUGCCGAUUGCAGUUCUAGAGAUAAACCCAGAGAAAGGCGGAGGCGCUCCGUUUGGGACUGUUAACCGUACAGUUGAACUACACCACUCUCGCAUAAUGAAUUACAAGUUUUACUUUUGUUGUAGGUCAAGUCCUGAUAUUCCUAUAUUAUUGUUGAUCUUUGUCACUUUCUUUGUCGCUCUGUUUAUAAGUUAAAAGAAACAGAAGAUUUUGUAAACUCAGAUCGACUUGUUGCACAAAUAGUGGAUGAUUUAAAACAUAGACUGUUCGUAUCAUUAAAAUACGUUAUGAAGUAGAUUCUACAAAAAGUUGUGCCGUGUAAAAAAAAUUGUGAUGUUUCACAUGUGCUCCGUAUGUUAUUUAUAUUAAUCAUUCUGAAUUACAUCAUAACUCAACGACUUGGUAUAUAAUACAAUAAGGCCUUGUUGGAUGUCAAUGAUUUGAUUGGUUAUGACUGGAUUAGAUUGGCUUAGUUUGGAAAAUUCACUAGAUUCAGUGAAUGUUGAAAGAAAAUAUGGAUUGCUAUUUUGUUCAAGUGAAGAUGGAAGAGAAAAAGAAUAAGACAAGUAUAACAAAUCAAAUAUUGACGGAGCAUGCAUAGGUUUUUAAUUACAACUAUUCGUCAAUUGGUGCUUAUAAUUUUUGGUUUUAAAUGCUAUUAUCUCUUAAAUAAAAUAAUUAUGUUGCUUUAGUCUCCUCAUCGUAUUAUACGUGUCGAAUUCGUGUGAAGUCUGGUGGGACAAGAGAGAGAUAAGGAGGUUGACUUUGAUCAAUUGACCUCCUUUCCAUAGCCAUUUUUCUUUACCUUCAUCCCCUUACACAAAGUCCAUUCUUAAGAUCUCUAGUUCUCUCUCAAUGGCUGCUAAAAGUUCCCGAGAUUCUUCUUCGUCCUCUUACCAGUGUUCCUAUCAUGCCUUCUUGAGUUUCAGAGGCCAGGACACGCGCAGGGGCUUUACUGAUCACCUCUAUAGAGCUUUGGAGCUAGCAGGAAUCCACACCUUUAGAGACGAUGAUGAAAUCAAGAGAGGGGAGAAUAUUGAGUCGGAGUUAGAGAAGGCGAUAAAGGAGUCACAAGUAUCCAUAAUUGUCUUCUCCAAGGACUACGCUUCCUCAAGGUGGUGUUUGAACGAACUUCUGAAGGUCGUGGAACGUAGAAAUACUGAUCGUAGACAUGUGGUUCUGCCAGUUUUCUAUGAUGUGGAUCCAUCCGAUGUCAGGAAGCAGAGUGGUACUUUUGCUGAAGCAUUUGCCAGACACGAGGAGCGAUUCAGUACGGAGGAGAUGGACAAGGUGGAGCUGUGGAGAAGAGCUCUUAGACAUGUUGCAAGUUUGGGAGGCAUGGUUUUAGGAGAUCGGUAAUUUCUAUUCUCAUUAUGUUCUCACGCUAAUUGAAAGUGUCUUUUAAAUUAAGUAAAAUUGUAGAUGGCAGUGAAACUUGAAGUUGUUCGCCUAUAUAUACUGCAACUUUGAUUUAUAUGUUCCUAUCGAUUCAAAUGAAUUACAGGUAUGAGGGGCAGUUCAUCCAAGAUAUUGUUGGAGAGAUUAGAAAUAAAGUGGAUCACGUAGCUUUAGACGUCGCUCCCUUUGCAGUUGGAAUGGAUGCUCGUGUGAGACGCCUAAACAUGUGGUUACAAGAUGGAUCAAAUGAUGUUGGUUUAGCUGUCAUCUGUGGGAUGGGUGGAAUUGGCAAGAGCACCAUCGCGAAAGCCGCUUAUAACCGCAACUUUGAUAGAUUUCAAGGUAGCAGCUUUCUUGCAGAUAUACGAGAAUCUUCAGAACAACCCAAUGGUUUUGCUCUCUUGCAAAGAAAACUUCUUUCAGAUAUCCAAAACGGGAAAGCAAAGAAAGUAUACAAUAUGGAUGAAGGAACAAUCAGGAUCAAACAAGCCGUAGGUUAUAAAAAAGUUCUUAUUGUUCUUGAUGAUGUGAGCAACCGGGAUCAACUCAAUGCAAUUCUUGGAAUGCGAGAGUGGCUUCAUUCAGGAAGUAAAAUUAUCAUAACAACUCGACAUGAACAUUUGUUAAAUGCUCACGAUGUUUUUGAAAAGUUUAUGGUUCAAGAACUGAAUGAGUACGAAUCACUUGAGCUUUUCAGUUGGCAUGCCUUCAGACAAUCCCAUCCGGAAGAAGGUUACAAGGAGCUUUCAAGACAUGUGGUGCAGCACUGUGGAGGGCUUCCUGUAGCUCUUCAAGUUCUGGGAUCUUCUCUAUCUGGAAAAAGUGUAGAAGUAUGGCAAAGUGCAUUGCAGAAGUUAGACGUGAUCCCUAAUGACAAAAUUCAAAAAGUUCUGAGGAUAAGUUUUGAUUCUUUACAGGAUGAUCAUGACAAAAAUUUAUUCCUUCAUAUAGCCAGUUUCUUCACAGGAAAGACGAUGGAUUAUACAAGUACAAUGUUGGACAGCUUAAAGUUUUACACAAGGAUUGGGAUUGAAAAUCUAGUUGACAGAUGCCUAGUGAAAAUUCAAGGCUCGAACAGGUUGUUGGUCAUGCAUCAAUUGGUGAGAAACAUGGCAAUGGAAAUUAUUUGUGAAGAAUCACCUGAUGACCCUGGAAAACGUAGUAGAGUGUUGCAGAAAGAUGCCUCUAAUAUUUUGAGAAAAUUAAGUGUAAGAACUAUGUUUUCAUGUAUAUGUAUUUUUAGUUAUGAUUUGUUGUCCAGUACUAGUUAUAUACUUAUUCAAUGCUCUGAUUUGUUAGCAGGGUACGGAAAAUAUUAAGGGCCUCAUGCUUAACCUUGCUAGCAAAAUAACGUUUGUUGGAUGUCAUAAAAAACGAUGCCAUGAUGAAGAUUAUGAUGGAAAUUGUUCAAGACGACGUCGUCUUGGUUUCUUCUCUUGGAAGCCAGUUAGCUUUCCGUCCACAAACUCAGCUUCUGCAUCAAAUGAGAUAGAUUUCAAAUCUGAGGCGUUUAGAAGGAUGCACAAUCUUGAAAUUCUCAUGCUCAACAACGUCAACGUCAGGGGAAGCUACGAAGAAUUUCCAAAAAGUUUAAUAUGUUUAUCUUGGAGAGGAUUCCACUUAAAAUCAGUACCAGAAAAUUUUUAUUUGGAAAACCUGGUUGUUCUUGACAUGCGAAAUAGUAGCCUACAACAUGUUUGGAAUGGGAUCAGGGUACGUAACUCUCUCUCUCUCUCUCUCUCUCACUCACUCUCACACACACUUUCUCUCACACAUGUCCAUUAUAUCUUCUUAGAAAUUGAUUAAUACUUCUUAUUGAAAACAGUUCUUUCCGAGGCUGAAGAUUCUUAAUCUCAGUCAUUCGCAUGGCCUUAGGACAACCCCUGACUUCUCAGGACUCCCUAACCUUGAGAGAUUGAUUCUUAAACAUUGCAUAAAUUUGGUUGAGGUUGAUGAGUCCAUCGGAUACCUAGAGAAACUUGUUGUUUUGAAUCUAGAAGGCUGCAAAAAUCUCAUGAAGCUUCCAAAAUUGAGAUCUAUUCAGGAUCUUAUUCUUUCUGGUUGCUCAAAGCUUGUGCUUGGUGCCAAUACGACUGCCACAACUGGUCACUUACAAUCUACAGCUUGUGAAUUGAAGAAACUCAAUCUGCUAUCAGCUAAAUCAUGGUAUUCAAUCUGGUCGCGGGUGUCCCCAAGAAAAAAUAUUGAACCAAGCAGUUUCUCAUUGGCAAGUUUACCACAUUCCUUGACAAGUUUAAGUCUGGAUAGCUGCAAUCUAUCAGAGAUUCCGAGUGCCCUUACUAUGCUGUCUUCGUUAGAGUACUUGGAUCUGAAUAAGAAUCCAAUUACAAGCCUACCAGAGAGCAUGAACAAUCUUGUUAAGCUUCACACUCUUGCAGUAGAUGGUUGCAGAAACCUCACAAUGCUUCCAGAGCUCCCACAUAGUUUGAAACAAUUGAAUGGUAGAGGUUGCACAUCAUUGAAAAGAAUAACAAAUUUACCGAACUUGCACAUAUUACCGGCCACACAUCCCUUCGGCAUGCAAAAGGACAUAGAUUUAAAGUAUUACAACAUAUUAUUGGACUCAAAUUUAUGGUAUUGUGGGAAACUAGUUGAUGUUGUAAGCUUGUUUAAUACACUACCAUUGAGCAGCUUUGACAUAAAACUCCUCAAAGAUAUCGAUCUAUUCGAUUUGAAACCCAACGGUGGCGUUGAGGUCCAAAGGAACAGCGAUUGUGCAAGUUUUGGCAAGCCCAGGCGCUCCAAGGUUCUUCUCUCUCUCUCUCACUGCUAUGUACAAGUGCUUAUAAUAUGAUCUAUGGCGUAAACAAUUAGAUUGUAAUCACAUCACCAUGAAACUGCAGGGAACUUUUGAAUGCGGCAUAUUUAGCAUAUUUGUCCACGAGAGCAAGAUUCCAGAUCGGUUCAAUUACAGGAGCAUGGGUAACAGUGUGUUCUCUAUUAUUGUUCCUUCACAGCCUAAUAUCAAGAUCGUAGGUUUAAAUGCAUGUAUAUUGUAUGCCCGGCAAUCGGAUCGAAGCCCUGAGAUUGCACUUGGAAACUAUCAUUUCUAUUCGCUUGAACUUAGGAAUGAGACAAAGGGCCUUAAGUGGCGUUUACCUAUGUUCAAUGAGGUUGAAUGGAGGGUGAUGAACGAAGAUAUGUUAUGGCUAAGCCAUUGGAUUAUGGGGAACGAUGAAUUGGAAUGCGGGGAACAAGUGCGUUUUGAAAUAAUCGGAGUGCAAGACGGUUUCGUCACAAAGGAGAUUGGAGUCCAGUUUGUGUACGAGCAGCAAAAUAAGGAUAAGGAGGAUGUCCCAUCAAGUAGUGAAGAUCCAAUGAUCCUACCUGACAGAUCGUUUCGGGUCUGGAGCAAAGUAUCGCCUUGGCACUGGAGCGUAGGUUUCGCUGGAAGGGGUGGCCCUAUUGGGAGAGAGACCGGGGUGGAAUACAUCCAUAACAAUGAGAAGAAAGUUAUUUCAACUGUCAUGUGCGCGGCUCAAUACAUUCUCUGUAACCAUGAAGUGAUCGAUCUUGAGAAUGAAUCCCGCAUGACCCCGUAGUAACAACGAGUGCUCUAAACUAUUACCCAGUUUAAUUCAAAUUGAUGGUGAUGAUGCACAAAUCACUAAAUUCAAAUGUGUAUUGGUUGUUAUGCUUCGUUUCUAUCUAUUUUCAAUUUUUCCCUAAAAAAUUGUUUUCAAUAAUUUAAUAUACAAAAUUUCAUACCAAACAAAUUCUUGCCUGUAUAAAGUAUGAAUUUAAAACCUGUUUUUAAGAAAAAUAAAGUUUCAGACCCCAACUAGAAAAUAAGCCCACGAGUUGUGGCGGGAACUAACUGUUUCAGGCGUAACUGCGUGAAUAAGACACAUUUCACAUGUAACUGAAUAAAUAAGACACAAAGUGCAGGAAGUAAAGCUCAUAUUUAGCAGUGUUAUUUUAACAACAAUUGUUCAAGUGGUGGAUUGCCCCCGGUGGGUUGGGCAUUUCUCUUAGUCCUACUGCAUUCCGGGUUCAAAGUUCCAACCAUCCCCCGUACCAGUUUAAGCACACCAAAGACCAAAUUUAGCAUGUUCUUUCGUCAUCCACCCAACCCCAGCAGAUAUACAAAAUUCAAAUAGAACUUGGCAAAUUCAUCCUCUUAAAAUACAAAACGAAAAUAAUUUAUGAUCACUGACCUCUGAGAAUCGAAUGAUAUUCGGAUUCUUCAAUGAUCUGUGGUUCUUGAUUUCCCCUUGAACAUGUUCAUCCAUCUGCAUCACCAAAAAAAAAAGUAUAUUUAAAAAAAAAUACAAAAUGAAAAUAGUUUAUGAUCACUAACCUCUUUGGAUCGAAUGAUAUUCGGAUGGUCCAGUGAUCUAUAGUUCAUGAUUUCCCUUUGAACAUGUUCAUCUAUCUGCAUCACCAAAAAAAUAAUAAAUAUUUAAAAAAAAAUACAAAAUUUAAAGGAUAAGAAUUGCGAAGAUUCUUAGGUCUUAGUUCGAAAUGUAAUAGCUCAUCUCACCUCCAUAUAUUACCAAAUCUUAGUCUAUAUGAUUUUGCCAGAGCCACCGAAUGUUGAAUAUAUAUCUGUUGAAUGUUCUACUACCAUCAACAUUAUAAAGGUUUCUAAUCGAAUCAUAUAUUUAAAAUCCAAGCAUGAAAGUUUUACAAAGAUAAAUAAACAAAUGUAAAUAACUAAUUAGGCAAUACACAGCAGAGAGGGGAGAGAGAGAGAGAGAGAGAGAGCAAUUGAAGGGAAUGCAUAGUUAUCUCUAUCUUCGGAAAAAAGAAAAGAAAAAAAGAGAGCAGUUGAAGGAGUGAGAAGCAAAGCAGCAUACCAAGUGGAGGGUAAGCAAUUAAGCAUAGUCAUCUCACGUACGGAUUGCCUGAGAACUGAUCUUUGCUUCUCUUCCUUAUGAUCCUCUUAAAUGCAAUUCUACACAUUUCUAAACCAAAAUUGCAAAGCAGAAUUCAAAGAAAUUUAAAGAAAUCUAGUAAAGAUUCAAACUUUUUUAUUAUCCAAAAGAUGUACAUAACCCCAUGUAACAAAAACAAAUUUAUGACACAAAAGAAAUUAUCUUUAGCCAACAAAAGCAAAAAAGAGAAAGAGAGAGAUUUUGCUUUUUGCACUAUGCAGAAUGUGCAGAGAAUCAAAAUAUCAUAACCCAUUUAACAACAUGAUAUUUUAGGCAAAAAGGCAUCACCUUUAGACCCCAAAUGAAAGAAUUUGAGAGAGAGCGCAUACGUGGUUGCCAAGAAGAGGAAGAGAGCAAUUCUAUUUCCUGUAAAAAUGAAGAAACAGAGCAUUAACAAACACACAUGCACAAAUCUCAAAAGGAAAUUGGUAAGAAAUAAUCGUAAUUGAGAAAAUAAUCAAAAAACUAGAGAGCACACAACUGGAGUCUAAUUCUACAGAACCCACGAGUCGACAAACAAAUAUCCAAAAUUAACAGAUUACAGUAACAACAUUCCAACAAAAGUAAGAAGACCAGAAAAAUUAUCUAUUCUAAAGUACAUUAGUUCCAUCAUGCAUAAAUCAAGGGAGUCACGGAAGGCCAGUAUCUUAAGGUAAUCCAACAUGUUAAAGCAUCCAAACAGAGACUCAGAAUUACAAAACGCAUGAAAAUUCACAUUCCAACGUGUUAUGGAAUCACCAAUUUCAGAUCAACCAAAAUCAAAUAAAUUUAUAUCAGUACGCAUCAAACCCACCAAACCCAAAAUCAAAAGAAGGUGAUCAAAUGUUUGAUUUUGCUAAAUAUUACAAAAUAAAAUAAAUAAGAAUAUGUACAAAUCAACAUGCAUACCUUGUAGCGGUGCAGGGAACAGUAGCGUGAGCUGCAUCGAGGGCAUGUGUACUGGGAAAAUUGCUACUGGCAGCUGCAACUAACAAAAACAAAAACAAAACAAAAUUGAAUAAAAUCAAAAUCGGAAAAAUUUCCAGAAAAUAAAUAAAACAAAUUAUCAAGCUUUGUUGAUGAAAGAGAGGUGGGGUUGGUGAAGAACAUACACGCGGCUAUGAGCAGUAGACAAAAGAUUUCAAAAUGAUUUCUUCACUUUUCAAUCAGGACAUGCACGAAUAUAAAAAUGGCAGAGAGGAUUAAAACCAUACCAAACACUAGAAAAUCAAGUAUAAAAAUCGUACUUACCUUGUGAAUGAGGACAUGCAGACACAUGAUGGAUGAAGGACAGCAAAUCCCGCAUACACGAACCUAACUUGCCACUGUUCGCCACCCCCACCCCUCCCUAUCUCUCUCUCCCUGCAAUCGCGACGAUUUCUGUCACUGUCACCCUCCCACUCCCGAAUCGAAUAUCCGCACGAAAUCUCUCUCUCUCUCUCUCUCUCUCUCUCUCUCUCUCUCUCUCUCUCUCUCUCUCGCUCGGUUUCUCUCACUGUCACCCUCCCACUCCCGAAUCGAAGAUCCGCACGAAAUCUCUCUCCCUCUACAAGCGGCAUGGCCGCUGUCCCUCUCUGUCUGCCCUCACCAUCAAUCCCAAUCCCAAAAUUAAGAUGACAAAAGUGCCCUGCAACCCUUUAAUUCUAGCCGCGUGAUCCUAACCCUAGAUGAAUAUUUCUGGAAUUUGAACACCCAAAGUAUCUCAUCAAAUGUGGAUGUACCCACAGUAUGAAUCUGAGAAUUUCUCAAUUCAACUCUCGAAAUUACUGUGACAGUAUUAAUAUAUCAUGUGGAAUGAGGUGGUAUUAUGGUAAAAGAUAGAACUUUAGCUGAUGGUAAACAACAUUUGGGAAUUUGAUGUAAGCCGGCUGGGAAUCCCAAAUGUUGUUUACCAUAAGCUAAAAUUUAAUCUCUGAUUAAAAAAAUAAUAAUAAAAAGCACACCUCAAACUGACAAGGACCAUAAUUUUCAAGUGACACUGCUUUUCAAUGGUUACCAUAAAAAAAAUAAUAAUAAAAGAACUGAUCAUUUGAAUUAUUCAUGACAGAACCAAUUUUGAUUUGAAAUAUGAUGGCCAAGAACAAAUCACACUGCUUUUCAAUGGUUACCAUAAAUUUUCAGAAGUUACAGAAGAUUUUUUUAUCAAAUGAAAAGACAAUGGUCACAUAUAUCUACAAUUAACCACCAGUAAGCGUGAAAUAUUACAUCACAAUGCAAUAGCAGCUAUACAGGAUGCCAUGCCAUUCAUACUAUGACAAAUCACAAAAGUGACAAUUAAAGGGCACCUAACAGACACCCCCAUCUCUCUCUCUGCAAUAGCAGAAAUCCCUCGGGUUUCAGAAAGCAAAUGGAAAACAAAAUGCUUUUACAUCCCCUACCCAUACCCAUACCUCCCUUUACCCGUUCCCUUUACCCUCGCAGAAAAUCCUCCCAUCUCUCUCUCACCCUUGUCCCAUCUCUCUGUCUGCAAAUCGCAGAAAAGAAACCCUGAACAAAUCACUUAAAUCCCUCGCCUAAAUCCUCCCACAUUUCUCUCAGACACCCCCUAUCUCUCUCUCUUUGCAAACCCUAAACCAAAUCUCCUAAAUCCUAUCUCGGACACCCCACACAAAGCCAAGAAGCCAAGAUAUUAAAGCAAUCUCUACAUAAUACUAUGGAACAAUGAAGCAAAAUGGUACUUACUUGUUCCUUGUCCAAAACCGUUGGUGCCACCGCACAUUGUUAUCAAUUGUGGGUUGAUCAAAUCCUUCAUGGCUUAGACUGCAUGAAGAAUUAGAAACUAAAAGAUGAAUAUAUGCUGUAAAUCAUCAUAUAAAUGUAAUUGCAUUUAAAAAAAGAAGGGAAUGAAAAAAUUGAAUUCUAUUUCAUCAGUAUGUAACUGCAUGAAAAGUUACAUUGAAUGCAAACUCAAUCAAUUUCCCCAAAGUCAUUGUUAACUGAAAAUCAAUACCAAACCCAUAUAUACCACCAUUGAAUUUGCGAAACCCAAAAACAAAAUACAAAAAUUUACUCAUAUAAUCACAGAAAAACAUGAAAUUUGAGCACACAUUUGGCAAAGUUAAAGGAUAAAGGCACUCACAUCAUCGUAGUACUCUUUGGGAAGAUCUUCUAAUACUGGUUCUUCCUUUUUCUUGCUCUUCCUCAGAGCUGCCAUAAAAAAACCCAGAGAAGCACACAAAUUCAGAAAAGAAGAGGUCCAAAACUGCCAUAAAAAAUCCAGACAGCAUACAAAUUUAUCAGAACAAAAACCAAAUGAUGUGAGUGAUAGUGAGAGAGGUUGUGUUAGGCACCUGAAACACGUUUUGGUUUCAAUUGAAACGGCCAGAGCGUUGCAUGUGAGGAAGAUGACGAUAGGAUAUCCACAUUCUUUUUUCUUGGGUGAACUAACCAAACCAUAUUAUAUACUAAAACGACAUAAAAAAUCAUUAACAAAAUCACAACAAAAUAGAACAAAAACAUUCACAAAAGAAUUCCCCAAGUUUUCAAAUGGAAAUUAAACAUUUACAUAGCUUAUAUAAAAAGCCAAAAUAUAAAAAAUUAAUCAAAAGGUUGAGAUAACUCACAUCCCAGUAAUGCUUAUUGCUGAUAUUAACACCCACUGACAGCAGCCCUCGGUUUGUGGAAUUCCCACGCCCAACUCCAUGACCUCUCUCUCUGCCAUCCCUCUCUCCCUCACAACCAUACCCACUUUCGACCCACCCCUCAAUCCCGACACCAACCCUUGAUUUAAGGAGGAAAAAUCAAUACAACCACCCUUUUCGCAAGCCUCACUCCUCCCGCUCCCUUCCCCUCCCUGCCAAUCCCAUGCCCAUCUCCCUUGUUGUAGCUCUGCAACCCACGUUUUUUGGCACCAAACACUAUGUCCUAGGAUGAUGUGACAAUUUAUCAAAGUCAGAAAAUGCAUUAUCUCAGUUUAGGUUGGUAGCAUAUAUGAUCCCCGUGCAGCAACAUAGAAUACUUAGUAAAAGUUGCAUUUCUGAGAACAAAUAACCAAGAUGCUUGACCGAAAAAACAAUGCAGAUGCUUUAGUAAUACAGAAUUACAGUUUUAUUCAAGCUUCUCAGUCACAAACUAACCUUCCUUUGUCGAGCAGCAAGGAAGAGGGGGCGAAAAUUGAUUCCUGGAUGAGCUUUUUCGUUCAAAACUAAGUCGAGCUGCAAGGACGAAGGGUCGAGGAUUGUUCGUGAGCUGGUGUUGCGGAUAUAAACAUAUAGAAAGCUCCACUGUGUCAUAACAAACACAAAUCAAAUAUGAUCACCAUGUCACAUUAAUUACCUAAAAUUCAAAAUGUUAUAUACAUUAGUAUGUUGAACAAAACUCCGCCUAUGUAAGUUUAUCUUACAUUGCCGGUCCCAAGCCCGGAUAAAGGAGGAGGGGGAGGGCGUCAGGUAGUCGACAGCCGGCACUCCAUGAUCACGUCGAAUCCUUAUGAAAAUGAAUCCAGAACGAAAUCGCGCUAAAGCUAGGGCGUCACCCGUAAGUGGCGCGCUGUGUAGCCCGAGCACAGUGAUAAGUGAGCAAGGGUCGCUGUAUCUCCAUCGGCACCCGGAUACAGUGUUAAAUGAGCAAGGGGGCCAUAGAAACUUCUUUUCGAACGACUCCACUCAAAGUUGUUUGGGAGCAUAUGCUCCUAUCAACUUUACACGGGACACACAAAAGAAGUACUUUGAUCCUAUUAGACGGGAGAGGGUGAAGAAGCUAGGACAGAAGGGUAGAGUUCAAGAGAGCAAAAUGCGUUUAGGAACGUGGAAUAUAGGAACCUUGACGGGAAAAUCUAUGGAAGUAGUGGAAGUUAUGGUGAGGAGAAGGAUAAAUAUUAUGUGCCUACAAGAAACUAAGUGGGUUGGUCGUAAGGCAAAGGAUCUAGAAAACUCAGGGUUUAAACUAUGGUAUUCGGGCACAAAUAGAACGAGAAACGGUGUUGGCAUCAUCGUGGACAAGACCUUGACACAAGAUGUUGUAGAUGUCAAGAGGGUAGGAGAUAGAAUCAUGGCAAUCAAGAUUGUAAUAGGACAAGAACUUAUCAAUGUGAUUAGUGCGUACGAACCUCAAGUAGGGUUGGAUACGAGUUCGAAGGAGAAAUUUUGGGAAGACCUUGGAGACUUGGUGCGAGGAAUUGCUCAGACGGAGAAGUUAUUUAUAGGAGGAGAUUUAAAUGGACACGUGGGCAGGGAGACAGGCAACUAUGGAGGUUUUCAUGGUGGCCAUGGUUUUGAGGAGAGAAACGAGGAUGGGGAAGCUAUCUUGGAUUUUGCAAUGGCAUAGAGGAGGGGGAGGGCGUCAGGUAGUCGACAGCCGGCACUCCAUGAUCACGUCGAAUCCUUAUGAAAAUGAAUCCAGAACAAAAUCGCGCUAAAGCUAGGGCGUCACCCGUAAGUGGCGCGCUGUGUGGCCUGAGCACAGUGAUAAGUGAGCAAGGGUCGCUGUAUCUCCAUCGGCACCCGGAUGCAGUGUUAAAUGAGCAAGGGGGCCAUAGAAACUUCUUUUCGAACGACUCCACUCAAAGUUGUUUGGGAGCAUAUGCUCCUAUCAACUUUACCCGGGACACACAAAAGAAGUACUUUGAUCCUAUUAGACGGGGGAGGGUGAAGAAGCUAGGACAGAAGGGUAGAGUUCAAGAGAGCAAAAUGCGUUUAGGAACGUGGAAUAUAGGAACCUUAACGGGAAAAUCUAUGGAAGUAGUGGAAGUUAUGGUGAGGAGAAGGAUAAAUAUUAUGUGCCUACAAGAAACUAAGUGGGUUGGUAGUAAGGCAAAGGAUCUAGAAAACUCAGGGUUUAAACUUUGGUAUUCGGGCACAAAUAGAACGAGAAACGGUGUUGGCAUCAUCGUGGACAAGACCUUGGUACAAGAUGUUGUAGAUGUCAAGAGGGUAGGAGAUAGAAUCAUGACAAUCAAGAUUGUAAUAGGACAAGAACUUAUCAAUGUGAUUAGUGCGUACGCACCUCAAGUAGGGUUGGAUACGAGUUCGAAGGAGAAAUUUUGGGAAGAUCUUGGAGACUUGGUGCAAGGAAUUGCUCAGACGGAGAAGUUAUUUAUAGGAGGAGAUUUAAAUGGACACGUGGGCAGGGAGACAGGCAACUAUGGAGGUUUUCAUGGUGGCCAUGGUUUUGGGGAGAGAAACGAGGAUGGGGAAGCUAUCUUGGAUUUUGCAAUGGCAUAUGAUCUCUUCUUAGCCAACACCUUCUUUAAGAAGAGAGAAGAACAUGUGAUCACCUACAAGAGUGGGUCGUCAAAAACACAAAUAGAUUUUCUUCUAAUGAGGAAAGGGGAUCGUAUAACUUGUAAGGAUUGCAAAGUUAUACCAGGAGAGAGCGUGGCUAAUCAACAUCGCUUGUUGGUGAUGGAUGUACAUAUCAAAAGAGUAAGACAAAAGAACAAGACUUGGAAGUGCCCAAGGACUAGAUGGUGGAAUCUAAAAGAAGAAAAAACAAGCCAUUUUCAAAAGAGAAGGUAAUCACCCAAUGUGUGUGGGAUAGAGAGGGGGAAGCUAGCCAAAUGUGGAAUUCCAUGGCUAGUUGUAUCCGAAAAGUAGCAAAAGAGGUAUUAGGAGAGUCCAAGGGCUUUGCCCCACACCAAAAGGAAUCUUGGUGGUGGAAUGAGGAGGUACAAACAAAGGUGAAGGCUAAGAAGGAAUGUUGUAAAGCCUUAUACAAGGAUAGGACCGAUGAAAAUGGUGAAAGGUAUAGAAAAGCGAAGCAAGAGGCGAAGAAAGCUGUCAGAGAAGCUAAGUUAGCGGCUUACGACGAUAUGUAUAAACGACUAGAUACCAAAGAAGGAGAGUUGGAUAUCUAUAAACUAUCUAGAGCAAGGGAAAAGAAGACAAGGGACCUAAACCAAGUGAGGUGCAUCAAGGAUGAGGAUGGAAAGGUUCUUGCUACAGAGAACGCGGUUAAAGACAGAUGGAGAGGUUAUUUUCAUAAUCUUUUCAAUGAAGGACAUGAAAUGAGUGCUUCUUUAGGGGAGUUGAGUAACUCAGAAGAGUGUAGAAACUACUCUUUUUAUCGUAGAAUCCGGAAGGAAGAAAUGGUUGUAGCUUUGAAGAAGAUGAAGCAUAGAAAAGCAGUAGGCCCAGACGAUAUACCAAUCGAAGUGUGGAAAGUUUUGGGAGAGACAGGUAUAACAUGGCUCACUGACCUUUUCAAUAGGAUUUUGAAAACGAAGAAGAUGCCAAAUGAGUGGCGAACGAGCACUUUGGUGCCUAUCUACAAGAAUAAGGGCGACGUACAAAAUUGCAUGAACUAUAGGGGUAUUAAGCUAAUGAGUCAUACAAUGAAGCUCUGGGAGAGAGUCAUUGAGCAUAAAUUGAGGCAAGAGACACGGGUUUCGGAUAACCAAUUCGAGUUCAUGCCAGGGCGCUCAACCAUGGAGGCAAUCUAUCUCUUACGAAGAUUGAUGGAAAGAUAUAGAGAUGGGAAAAAGGAUUUACACAUAGUCUUUAUAGAUUUGGAAAAAGGAUUUUAGAGAAAGGAGUACGAGUAGCAUAUAUCCAAGCUAUAAAGGAUAUGCAUGAAGGAGCAAAGACUGCCGUAAGAACUCAUGAAGGACAAACCGAAAGCUUUCCCAUAACUGUAGGAUUACAUCAAGGCUCAUCCUUAAGUCCUUACCUUUUUGCGUUGGUAAUGGAUGAGUUAACAGGACAUAUUCAAGAUGAUAUUCUUUGGUGUAUGCUUUUCGCAGACGAUAUAAUGUUGAUAGAUGAAACUCGGGAAGGGGUAAAUGCAAAGCUUAACCUUUGGAGAGAAGUGUUGGAAUCUAAAGGUCUUCGCCUAAGCCGAGCAAAGACAAAAUAUAUGGAGUGCAAGUUCAAUGCAAAUGGAGGCCAAAACGAGUUAGGGGUGAGGAUCGGAGAUCAAAAAAUACCAAAGAGCGACCGUUUUCGUUACCUAGGAUCUAUCUUGCAAAAGAACGGAGAAUUAGAUGGAGAUCUCAACCAUAGAAUACAAGCUGGAUGGAUGAAGUGGAAGAGUGCAUCCGGCGUGUUGUGUGACCGCCGUAUGCCACUGAAGCUCAAGGGAAAAUUUUAUAGGACGACAAUAAGGCCGGCGAUGCUGUAUGGCACAGAAUGUUGGGCGGUGAAGCAUUAACACGUACACAAAAUGGGUGUAGCGGAGAUGAGGAUGCUUCGUUGGAUCUGUGGGCACACGAGAAAUGAUAAGAUUAGGAAUGAGGAUAUCCGGGGUAAAGUAGGAGUAGCCGAAAUUGAAGGAAAGAUGAGAGAAAAUCGGUUACGAUGGUUUGGACAUGUGCAAAGAAGGCCUACUGACGCUCCGAUUAGAAGAUGCGACUAUGGGACAGAGGUUCAGGGCCGAAGGGGUAGAGGAAGACCUAGGAAAACUUUGGAAGAGACCCUAAGAAAAGACUUAGAGUACUUGGAUCUAACGGAGGACAUGACACAGGACAGAACACAAUGGCGUUCUAAGAUUCAUAUAGUCGAUCCCACUCAGUGACUUGGAUUUUCCAAGUCUCCAACCGAGAAGUUUUCCUCACUCGGGAAAUUAAGGGAACACUACCUCAACCUACAUGCUCCACUCACAAAGCUUCAACAUACAAGCUUCAACAAAAGAAAAUUCAAAUAACUUAGCGAAGAAGGCUUUGGUGUAUUUAACACAAUACGUUGAAAUGAAGGAAAACUUAUUUAUUGAUAGCCCUGAUAAGUUACAAAUAUGUACAUAUACAUGAGUCAAAAUAAACAAACAAGAGGGAGCCUUCACAAAGGUCGCUUAGGAGAAGUCUCAGCAGUCGGUAGAGCCCCAGAAAGAAAAGGCACCGGAGGGGGAUCAUUCGGAGCCUCAGUACUGGACAGAACCCUAGAAGGAGGAGGCAUCAGAGGUUGAUCACUUGGAGCUUCAUUACGCGGUACAGCCCCAGAAGACGAAGGCAAUAAAUGCCUUUGGAACAAACCCACAAAUCUCUGAUGAUCAAGUAAAACCUGACCAUCAGAUUCUUUCAUCUGGUCAAGCUUCCUCUUCAUGUUUGUAGCAUAGUCAUGUGCGAGCCGGUGCAACUAUUUAUUCUCAUGCUUGAGCCCUCUAAUCUCCUGUUUGAGACUCAUCACUUCAGCCGCCAAUGAUUCAACUUGGCGGGUUCGAGCAAAUAGGCGUUGGGCCAUAUUAGACACAGAACCUGCACACUGAACACUGAGAGCCAGAGAAUCCUUAACAGCCAACUCAUCAAACCGUUUGGAAAGUAGUCUGUUAUCUUUGGGAGUGAGAACGUUCCUGGCCACUAUCGCAGCGGCCAUAUCAUUCUUCAUCACGGAAUCCCCAACGGUAAGAGGACCAGUAGGGGAGAUGAAGGAUGGGCGCCAUAUGUUGUUUGGAGAAGGCGGGGCUGCCUCUUCAACAAGGUUCAAGUCAAAACGACGGUCGGAGGGGCCAGACAUUUUCAAAGGUGUUGAAGAGAGAAGAGGUCGGACAAAUCAAGAUCUUAGAAGUGCAAGAAUGAAGCUUCUACUGGUGAAGAUUCAAGUGUGCUUUGGAACUUAAUGCUAGCCUCUAUAAAAAUCUGCACUAGACGAAGCUUCAGAAAUCGAAGAGGUGCCUGCUCAGAAAUCGAAGAGGCAUUUGCUUUCUCAAAAGCUGGGCUGCUCAGAGACCACGAGGGUCGACCUCAGAAAUCGAAGAGACGUUUGCUUUCUCAAAAGCUGGGCUGCUCAAAGACCACGAAGGCCGAUCUCAGAAAUCGAAGAGGCUUGCUUUCUCAAAAGCUGGGCUGCUCAGAGACUACGAGGGCCGAUCUCAGAAAUCGAAGAGGCACAUACUUUUCCAGCCUUGUCAACACCUGUCACACGCACACUCAGCUUUGCGGAAAUUAUUGGCAUUCUGUCGAAGAUUUCUGAUGAAGUAGAAAGCACAUGAAUCGUACUGUUCAAUCACCCACUUCCCACACGCAACAGUAGCUCGAGGGUACCACAGAUAACUUUGCCAAAGUUAUCUGACAAAGUUGAGACACGUGAAGCUUACAGCUCCCACUACAUCGCUCUGGCCAAGAAGGGUAAAAGAAUAACAAAGAAACAACACUAACAAAGUUUAGACACAUAAAUUUUGAAGGUCUAGCUACCAUAUUAUUACCCACAAGGGUAAAGGAACAGUACCAUUGCUAGAUAAUUGGAAGGUCCCGGUGUGUCAACCUCUGUACUUCGUGGCACGAUAGACUAGCAAACAUGCAUAACCUUUACUCACAUUCGAGAAAACACUUCCAACAAGAUUGCUUGCUCCAAUAUCGAAGAGGCACCGCCUUCCGAAUCUCGAGAGCCAGACUCCCAACAUGAUUACUUUCUCAAAAAUCGAAGAGAGGGUAAAGGAACAGUACCACUGCUGGAUAAUUGGAAAGUCCCUGUGUAUCAACCUCUGUGCUUCGUGGCAAUGUAGACUAGCAAACAUGCCCAACCUUUACUCACAUUCGAGAAAACGCUCCCAACAAGAUUGCUUGCUCCAAAAUCGAAGAGGCACCGCCCUCCGAAUCUCGAGAGCCAGACUCCCAACAUGAUUACUUUCUCAAAAAUCGAAGAGACACCGCUAUCCGAAUCUCGAGAGCCAGACCCCCAGCAGGAUUGCUUUCUCAAAAAUCGAAGAGGCAUCAUUCUCCGAAUCUUGAGAGCCAGAUCCCUGACAGGAUUGCUUGUUCGAAAACCGAAGAAGCACCACUUUCCCAACUUCAAGAGCUGGAUCUCCUUAGAUAAAGCUUGUCUGUAAUCUUCACACGCAACAUCAGCUUUCCAGAUACCACAGACCACUUUUUCAAAGUGCUCUGACAGAGUUAAAACAUGUGAAGCUGGCAGCUCCCACUACCGUGCUAUGACCAAGCAGGGUAAAGGAAUAGCAUUAUUACUUGAUGUUAGGGAGACUCAUAUAUAUGUCGACCUCCAUCCCCAAUGGACAGGCAGACCUGCAAAAAUGCUCAACCCUUCCUCUUAUCUGAGAGGGCACUCCCAACAAAGCCUUUCGAAAUAUUCAGCUUUCUUUCUUCCCGAUAAUACCUCUGCAAACAAGCUAUACUAGAGCAAGAAUAUCUCAUAUCAUCAGGGUUAAAAGCAAGAGUAUCCCAUAUCAUGCUUUUUCCCUGUCUUUUCCUUUGACCUUGUUCUUACCUGCAAAACAAGGAGAAAGAGAGCAAUCAGUCAGCACUUGGAAUCAAGCUUCCAGCCAGGAACUGACUGCCUGGAACCCCUUACCUGAGUACUUACCUGGCAUUGCUCUCGAGUACUCAUCUUCAACAUCUUAUGCUUCCAGGGAAGAUACCGCAUCUGCUUGAGGAACAGAUAGGGCAAGUGAGAAGGAUACAAAGAAGCAUGUGGAGACAAGCGUAACAGCACACGUGCCAAUACAUCCACUACUCUGUCAAAAGCAAAAGUAUCCCAUAUCAGCAGGGUCGAACGUACUCUAGAUUUGAUGGACUUGUUUUGACCCUCAAAUUCUUCAGUCGGCCUUAUACUUUGGAGGAAACCAAAAAACCCUCCAGCCCAGUUCAAGAAUAAGCCUGUGGAAAGUUACUUCUUCAAAAGCAAAAGUAUCCCAUAUCAUCUCUUCUCAUUUUUCUUCUCUUUAUCCUUCAUGCUGCCUGCAAGAUAGGGAGAAUGUGAACAAUCAGCCGGAGCUCUGAUUGCUUACCUUGUCUGUCACCUCUUUCAGCAGAUCCCCUAGCUCGGCGACUUGGGGGACUCCUACUACAUGGUUUGUAUCGCGCUUGACCAAGCCUGAAAUUACAAGUAAGCUUCAAGUGAAAUUGAUACAUUACCUUGUGCAUCUCCACCAGUUAAAGAUACCACCCCUGGAUGGAGGAAGAGUACUUCCAGAGAAGAUGCCACAUCUACCUAUGAGACAGAUAAGGCAAGUCAAGACGAUACCACACUCCGGUACUUAGAAGUUUCGUGAUUACGAGAUCAUUCUCCCACAAUAUUUCCUAAUGUCAUUUGUACUAAAUCAUUCACUUGUACUCACUAAAGGAGAGUUUGAACCUAUGUACUUGUGUAAACCCUUCACAAUUAAUGAGAACUCAUCUAUUCAGUGGACGUAGCCAAUCUGGGUGAACCACGUACAUCUUGUGUUUGCUUUCCUAUCUCUAUCCAUUUAUAUACUUAUCCACACUAAUGACCGGAGCAAUCUAGCGAAGAUCACAAAAAGCGAUCGUUUUCGCUACCUAGGAUCUAUCUUGCAAGAGAACGGAGAAUUAGAUGGAGAUCUCAACCAUAGAAUACAAGCUGGAUGGAUGAAGUGUAAGAGUGCAUCCGGCGUGUUGUGUGACAGUCGUAGGCCACUGAAGUUCAAGUGAAAAUUUUAUAGGACGGCAAUAAGGCCAGCGAUGUUGUAUGGCACAGAAUGUUGGGCGGUGAAGCAUCAACACGUACACAAAAUGUGUAGCGGAGAUGAGGAUGCUUUGUGGGAUGUGUGGGCACACGAGAAAGGAUAAGAUUGGGAAUAAGGAUAUCCGAGGUAAAGUAGGAGUAGUCGAAAUUGAAGGAAAUAUGAGAGAAAAUCGGUUCCGGUGGUUUGGACAUGUGCAAAGAAGGCCUACUGACGCUCCGGUUCGAAAAUGUGACUACGGGACAGAGGUUCAGGGCCGAAGGGGUAGAGGAAGACCUAGGAAAACUUUGGAAGAGACCCUAAGAAAAGACUUGAGUACUUGGAUCUAACGGAGGACAUGACACAAAACCGAGCGCAAUGGCGUUCUAGGAUUCAUAUAGCCGACCCCACUUAGUGGGAAAAUGUUUUGUUGUUGUUGUUGUUGUUGUUGUAUUAGUAUGUUGAACAAAUUAGUUACAUUUCAUUAUACUAAAAAAUUUACAGAAUAUGAGAAAUAAAGAAUUUGUAUUGUUUAUAUAAAAAUAGAAUAACAAAGAACAUCAUUGACUACCAUUUUAUUCGGUAGUUUCCUCCAACUGCAAUUGUUGAGAUUGUAGGAGAUCUUCGAAUAAAGCCUUCAAUUCAACCAUCCGUACACAAACAUAAUAGACAAUGUUUUUUAGCGAAUUAUGGACAAAGCUUAAUAUUCAAAUGCAAUGAAAUGGAAAACACAAUCCAAUUCUAGGACGAAUUGAAUCCUUAUUAAUCCUUCCUGGUCUAGUACCUAAGAACCAAUGAAGUGGCAAUAUAUGGAUAUGCAUGCUAUAGGAAACCAUUCAUUUGUAGAUGGUAUUGUGUCACCAAUAUUGUAUUUAAAAAUCUACCCAAGAUAAAGAUGCAAUAUAUAGUUUGGUAAAAAAUCAAAACGAAGAGUUAACAAAGGAAAAGGAUUAAGACGUUGAAAAUACAAAACUGGAUUCUUUUAUUUGGUAAAGACGGUUCCCCCACUGGCUGUCCGAAAUCACAAACACUUUUUUACAUAGAAACUUUAUAAACUAAUAGAUUAAAAUAAGGGAGUUUUGACAAAACACUCCCGGUACUGUUCAUUUUUAACGAAAAACCACUUUUUUACCUUUAACUGGUACUAUUCACUAUACCUUCAUAAAGGGUUUUUCGUUAAAAGAGAAGUUUUUUUGGACUUUUUGUUAGUUUUCCUUUAAAUCUAAGUGUUAUAAAUGAAAAAUCCUGGGAUUGAUAGCAAUGGCAUCAACAGUGCCACCACAUCCCAAAUAAAUGAAUGAAAAUAUAGUGAUUAAUGUCCAACAAAGAAGCUCAAGCUUGAAAUAAACCAAGGCAUAAAAGCUUACCAAACUUUUCAAAUGGCUAAAUUGUUCAUUUAACUUAAUAACUUCUUCCUACAAUCCAUAAGUAAGACCAUUAGAUGCGGUAAAUAAAACAUCAUACUUCAUAUAUGGCAAUCUAGCAGAGAAACCAAUUGCAUUCAGAUGGAGCCUAAUUUGUGGAACUACAUUUAUAUGCACUGAAAUGCAUUAUCAUGUUGUCAUAUUUAAAACUGAGGUUAUGCAGUAUGCUAUCUUUAGCAUACACAAAAUUUUUGCACCUCAUUUUUGAAGUUCUGCACUUCAUAAUUUAUAUACUUUCAGUUUCCCUUCUAAUGAAGGUAUGGCUGCUUUCCAUUUGGAAUUUUCGCAAGACAACGUUAUGAUAUUCCUAAUUUAGAAUGCGUUUCCAUUCUAAUGAAUGCAAGCCCUAAAUCAUAAAUAUUGUAUAAUUAGAUCUCAAUUACUCUGAUGUGUUUGAGCACGUGGCAGGGCAUGAGAAUCAGAACCACUCCUUGUUGUUCUCUGCUUCGUGAUUUGGUCAUCAAACAAUACUUCAUUCCCUCCAUCCUUUAUCACGUCUUCUUGGUGAUCAUUUGUUCAUCUCCAAACUGUAUCCACAAAAAACUACAAAUUAAUCCCAAAAACAAUCAUACAAAAAAAUUGCGGAUUAGAUUUGAUUACGUACCAUUUUUCACCUUAAACAUAGACAUUUUAAACCAGAAACCAAAAUCAAACAAACAUAAAGAAAUACGACUGACAGAAUCACACUGUAAGACACCACCCCCUCGCUUCCACGGUUCCACCCACAACACCAAAAACAACAAUAACAAUAAUAACAAUGUACACUCAGACAAAACAAAAAUGCACCACAGCCCUCCAGUGCUAUAACAGCACUUCUAGGACAACUUUGAUAUCUAUGGACUGUUCCCUUCUCCAUGUUACAACGAUAGUAUUAGAGCUCUUACAACAUCACAGAUGCAUGACCAAGAGUGUAUUCGACAACCUUUUCUCUGAUCCUUUUCAUCAGUUGGUCCUAAAGAUUCUAUUCUUCUAAAUUCAUCUUCUUUUUGGGUAUCCACAGACAUUUAUCACUUCAUAUGUCGAACACAAAACACCUAACAUUUUGGGUGACAAAUUAGAAGCAACUAAUCGGAAUCUGGGUACUGAGAAUUAAAUUACUCUUUGUUCUUAUAGUCCUGAUGGAAAUUACUCAUUGAUUCAAAAUUAAUCAAACUAAAAUGCAAGAAAAGCAAAAUCAACAACGCAUAUCAGAAUAAUAUGAAAAGAUCCCAACAAACCAACCAAACAAUUAACAUUAAAAAAAAAUUGCAAACUUGGAGGGAAAGAAGCACCAGAAAAAAUAUACACAUCCAAUGCUUUUAAUCCAAAGCUAGAAGUAUGAAUAACUGAGUAAGUUAAUGAAGGCAAAGCAGAGGGUAGGAAGCAGAACAUACCAAGAGACCAAUAGGGCAUCCGAGCCGGUCUGCCGAUGAACGCCGUGUCCUGGUCGACAACGCCCAACGGCGUCGGCCUGGCAAUGAAGUAAAAGUCGAAAACACCCCCAAUGACCUUGUAGGUGAGAGAAGUCCCUCUGUAGAACACAUCCAUGCCAUUACUGUUGAGCAGCAGAAAAGAGUGCGCGUAAGCCUCGUUGCCCACAUUCUGAAGAUCCAUGUAAACCCGGGUGGGACCCGUACAAAUCAGUGUUGAGAUUGAUCGCCGAGACUUCAGUAGUGACGAGGGUGUAUGGAUCGUUCGGGUAGAGCUUGAUCCCGUGUGGCUGAGUGUUCUCUCCGAGGCCGUACAGGGAGGCGUCUUUCGGCGGUCGGGUGGAUAUCUCGAGGUACUGGUCCUUAAACACCAGUUCGCCAUAUGGGUCUUUGGAUUCGGAGCUCGAAUUGAAGAGGACCUGCCCGUCGGACUUCCUCUUGAAGGUGACCCAAAUGAGUCGGAGAUGUGGCUAAGAAUGAGCUUAGAGC